rnacentral:lncRNA from 1 species
CCAUGGUUUGCCAAAGCCUCAUAUUCCACAUCGGUGUGCAAUACCGGCAUAACACGGUAAGGCACGGGAUUUGAAUAACAGGGGAUGAUAUAGUCAGGGUCAGUAGGGCUAAACUUAGGCUCACCCUUGUCUUCUCUAUCUGAAAGGUAAAGCGUCAUGGCAAGAAAGGCAGCAUCAGAAGUGAAAAAAACAUGAGAAGGGACACCAAGUUCUUUUGCAACAUCAAUAAAUACAGUGCAAAACAUAUCAACAACAACACUAGCAAUUGGUGCAGGGUUGUGGGCCAUGACUAGGUUAACAAUAGUAUCUUUCACAAGGGUUUUGUGAUCAUUGAUGUAAGAAGUAAAAGCACUUGCAGGGCUUACAGCUAAAGCUUCUGGAGGAGGUGUAGGUAUGGUAUCAGGAAUUUCGACGAACCUGAUUUCUGUAUGAAUUGAAGCAAGCGAUUCGGUGUUCUUGCUUAUGCCACCGUAAAAUGGAUUGUUGAUGGCAAGCAUGGUUAUCAAGAAACUGUCGUUUCUCUCAAGAACCAUCUUUGCUAACUGAACAGCUGCUACAAGGUGGCCAAAUCCAGGUGCAGGGACAAAGACUAGCUGUGUUUUCUUCAUUUUGGAGGUUUUGAAUGUUCAAUAUGGUGAUCCUUGUUUGCUUUAUAAGGGGCUCAAGGUCAAUGCCACAAUGCCAGCUGUUAUGAUUUUUUUUUUCUCUAAAUUAAUCAUCAAAUUGGAUAUGACAAUUAUUAUUACAAAGAUUGAUUUCAUAGAAAAAUUUUCCUGUAAUAUUUUUAAACAAUUCAAAUUAAAUAAAAGAAAAGAAAGCUAGGUUUCAUUUUAUUUUGAAGUUAUAUUUUUAAUAUAUAUAUAUAUAUAUAUAUAUAUAUAUAUAAACUAAACUAAACUAAAAAUAUUAUUUUAUUUUUAAUAAAUAAAAUUAAAUAAAUAUAUUUGUUUAACAACAUUCAUCUAUCCCAUAAGAUAUCAUUUAUCUUUAUUACAAAAAAUUAUAGAUGAUUUACUAGAAUGAUUUAAUUAAGUAUAACUUGAUUAAAAUAUAUAAUAGAAAUUAAGGAUUAGAAUAUAAUUAAUACAAGGAUUAUAUUUCUAUAUCUAGAAAAAUCAAGUAAGGAUUUAAUUGAUUAUAUUUUUAAAAUUACCCUUACAUAAUAUAUGGAUAUUUUUAAAAUUAUCUUUACAUAAUAUAUGGAUAUUAUUUAAAGGCAAAUAUAUAUAUAUAAUCAUUUAUACGGUUUUGAGAUUUUCUAUAAUUAUAAAGUUAAGCCUAUUAUUUUGUAAGUAAAAAAAUAAUGAUUGUCUAUUUUAUAAAAAAACUACGUAAAAACAAUAUUAGAGCUAGCACUCUAGGCAUAACAAUCUCUCUUUUCUAAAUAGAGAUUUAAGAGAUUUCUCACGGGUAGUUUGUAUGGAUUAUCAUUAGAGACCGAAUAAUUUAACGAUUUGUGGUUUGCGACAACCCAACUUUUAAAGAAUAAUUUAAAAUAAAUAAAUUAAAUAUUCAAAUAAUAAAUCUUUAAAUAAUUUUAAAUCUAAUCUACAUGAUAUAAGAACAACUUAAUAUAUUCAAUCAUGCGAAUUCUUUGUAGUUUUUAAUGUAUCAAAAUGGAUUUAAUAAUACCUUACUAUUAAAAAGAAGAAGAAGUCAACAACAAUGAUUGAUUGUGAUUGCAUUUAAUAGCUAGACAGUUACAUGGCUAGAAAGAAUCCAAAGAUAAUAUAUAAUAAAUGGCAAUUUCGUAGGAAUUGCUGAAGUGUUAAAUUGUGGAUGAAGUUUUUGAUGAAUUUUUAUUUUAUUCUAUUGUACUUUUCAUCAUUGGUAGUUAUUUAUGAAAAUAUUAUAUCACUAUUUAUAUCAAAAUUAUUGACGCAAAAAUUCUAUCACUGUUAUCUUCUAAAAUUAUUGAUGAAAAAUUUAUCAUUGACAUUUCUGAUUUUAUUUAUUAAUUUUCUGGUAAUAAUAAUAAUCUUAUGCUCAGAUUUAUAAUUUUAUAAUUUAAAAAAUAGAAUUGAUAUCUGAAACUUAAAAGAAGAUUAAACCUUUCAUUUUUUAAUUAUAUGAAGUAUUGAUAAUACAACUAAUCAAACAUAAACUAACAAUCAUUUAAACAAAAUUUAAGAAUUUAUGGUAGAAUUGCAUAAAUUAAUUUUAAAAAUUACUUUUUAUAAAUUUUUAUCAAGUAAUUCUACAAUCAAUUCCUAAAGCCUAACAAUCAUUUAAACAAAAUUUAAAAAUUGAGGAUAGAAUUACUUAAUUGGUAAAAAAUUAUGAAAAUAAGCGAACUUUGCUAAAAUCAUGUAUAUUCAUCCUUAUGAUUAAAUGACAUUUAAAUGUCUAAAGUAAAGAAUACCUUCAUCUAGCCAAAACAAAAUUCAGGGAUCUUCUACAAUGAAGACGCUAUCGUUUCAUGCACACAUCAUAUAUAAACGAGAAAUUCAAAUCAACAUAAUAUAUAUAUAUAUAUAUAUAUAUAUAUAUAUAUAUAUAUAUAUAUAUAUAUAUAUAUAUAUGUCCAACUAUUCUAAUGGCACUAAUUUUCAACUACUAAUGAAAAAAAAUAUUAAAAAGUAAUUUUUUAUAUUUUUUAAAUUAAUUUAGAUAUUAAUUAAAAUAAAGUAUACAAUAUUAAGAUUAUUCAAAAUGUUAGUCUCACUUCAUGCAUAAACUAAUAUGAGCUUAUCUUUUAAUGUAUCAUGAAUGAUUUUAUUUUAUUGGUGUGGGUUUUUUUUAUAUAAUUCUGGAUAUUUUAACUACUUUAUGUGUAACUCAAUUAAGUUUUUAAAAUUCUAAAUUUUACAACCAUGUAAUGUGUAUUGAUGGGGCAGGCAGGGAGGUGACUGUUUCUGGAGGGACGGGUGCUUGUAAAUUGGAUAGUGAGGGGUCGACAAGCCAUGGCCAUAAGCAAAAAGAUAAAGGACGAGGAGGGAGAAAAAAAAAUUGUGCAUAAUUUGUGGAGCACGGUGGGACAGGGAUAAUAAUUUAAUAUGAGACUUUUGAAUAUUAACCGAAAACCUACUUCUUUAUUGAAUAUUCAAAAAAAAUAAACCAAAAUGAUACAUUUAUUUAUAUAUAUAUAAUAAAAAAAAACACACACACGGAUAUAUCCAUAUAAAUACCAAACAUUACCGGAAUUAAUAAUUUUAGAGACAAUAUUUUUUUUUUGUUAGUAUUUAUACCAACAAUCCAUUGGUAUAAAAUUUAUCGAUAAAUUUAUAAAAAGAAUUCAUUUGCUAGUAAAAAAAAAACACCAAUGUUUUUACAAAUAAAAAGUUUGUAUAAAAGAAAUCACUUGUUUUAAUACUUUAAUGGAAUUAUUUUGUUAGUGAUUGAUAAUGGUAUUUAUUGUAAUUUUAUUUCAAUUCUUUAUAAAAUAUUAAUGGAAUUAUUUUCAUUCAUGAUGUAAUAAUAUUGAAGUGACAUAUAAAGUAAAUUGUUCCCCUUACCUUUGGAAUAUAUUGAGUUACUACGGGUUGUGUCCAUUGAUACAUCCGUCUGCAAGAGUUAAAAAAAUGCCCUUUUCUUUUAGUACAAUUAUGUUUUUUGUUAGUUUUUAUUUUUCACAUUCUAACCCUGGCGCCAUUAGAAAAAGAUAUGUCUCCACCACAAAACUAGGCAAAAAUAUGACGGGGUGCCUUUAAGUUUGUAUUUCAUGGCUAUGAUCUAAAUCUGGUUUGCCAAAAACUUCGUGAGCAAAGUAAAAUUGGCGUAACAACUGAAUUUAGGCCAAGUUUCAAAUUUUUGUUUACUUUUCUGAAAGUUUUGAUUUAUGGUUUCCAAUUUUCCAAGUCAAAUUUAUGGUUGAUACAAACUAAGCAAGGUAAUUUAAGAAGUUUUUUGCAAAACACGAGAAGGGACCCCAAGUUCUUUUGCAACAUCAAUAAAGGCAGUGCAAAACAUAUCAACAACAACACUAGCAAUUGGUGCAGGGUUGGGGGCGCCAUGACUAGGUUAACAAUAGUAUCUUUCACAAGGGUUUUGUGAUCAUUGAUGUAAGAAGUAAAAGCACUUGCAGGGCUUACAGCUAAAGCUUCUGGAGGAGGUGUAGGUAUGGUAUCAGGAAUUUCGACGAACCUGAUUUCUGUAUGAAUUGAAGCAAGCGAUUCGGUGUUCUUGCUUAUGCCACCGUAAAAUGGAUUGUUGAUGGCAAGCAUUGUUAUUGAAGAAACAAAGAGAAAGAAGAAUCUUAUUUUCAUAUCAAUUCUGUUAGAGCAGCAUAGGUAUGUAUACAAUGGAUACGAUGGAUUUCUGUUACAGCAGAGAAAGAUGACUAUUAAUUCUCCUACAUUCAUGGUCAUAUCAGAAUCUGUCUCUAUUUACUACUAUCCUAUCAAUUGUAUACAGAGCAAUAGCAAUAUUGCAGUAGGGAGCAAGUUCUGCAACUGGUGUUGGAGUUAAACUAAAACUCUGCAAUUUGUUUUGGAGCCGGACUCUGCAAUGUGAUCUAUAGUAGGACUUUGCAAUCGUGUUAGAGUGAGAAUCUGUUGCUUUCCUUCAUUACUCCCCCUCAAGCUGGAUUAAGGGGGUUGAUUGAGUCAGGUUUGGAUAAUAGACGAUAGAAGUGAGCUGAAGUUAGAACCUUUAUAAAUACAUCAGCUAGUUGAUGGUGACUGUGGAUGUAACAUGGUUUGAUAAUCUGCGAUAGAAUUUAUUGACGAAUAAAAUGAUAAUCAACUUUAAUGUGUUUAGUUUUUUGGUGAAAUACAUAAUUAGUUGUAAUAUGCAUAGCAACUUGAUUAUCACAAAACAUAGUCAAUGGAAUAUUGCUAGAAAAUUCCAGAUCUGACAGAAAACCUUUAAGCCAAAUUAAUUCACAAGCUGCGAACAUCAUCACAUGAUAUUCAGCUUUAGCACUAGAACGUGCACCAACAUGUUGCUUUUACUACGCUAGGCGACUGAAUUACCACCAAUAAACAUGCAAAAACCAGUGGUUUCUUAACAUAGCUAUGCAACAGAUAACACUCUGUGAGAUCAAAACGUUUUAGAAACAUGCAUGUGUAUUAUUAAAGCUCUAGUUUUUUCUAAAAGUCUCUGUUUUUACAUUCAGCUAUUUUAUUUUGUUGAGGUGUGCCAACAUAGUUGGAAUAGACCCUUGGAUGGUGGUUUCUGAAUGGAUCAUAAGAACUUUUGCGCACUCUAUUCGAGCCCAUUUGUUAUGUCUUUUAAUUGAGGUUCACCAAAGUAUGUGGUUUGCUAACUUAACUGCUGACACAAGAUGACAAUUUUUUGCUGCAGGAAUUAACACUAGCUGUGGUUUCUUCAUUCCAAUAAUAACUGUAGGAAAAAGGUGAAUGUUAAGUUUGUCGGUAUAAGAUCCAAUCUAGUUUGACAGGUUAAUUUGAUGAUUCAUUUAUUCAAAAUUUAGCUUGAUAGGUUAACUUGGUGACCAGGUCAACACAAUGAUUCACUGACUCUGAGCUUGGCUUGGCUGAGUUAGCAAAAAAACCAAGUAUAUUUUAUUUACCAAAACAACGAUGUUGUUUAAGUUUUUUUUUUAAAAAAAAAAGCUUGGGAUGAAUUGAAUCAAACCAUCAAUCUACAGCCCCACCUUGCGUAGAGUAGACUCCUCAGUCAAGUAUUAUAAUUAUGGUUAUGUGUGAACUAUAAAAUAGAAAGAAAUGACAAGUUGAUCUCUCUUUAGAAAAAAGGAAGAUGAAUUGCCUACGGUAGUGAAGAAUUCAUGUCUAACUUAUAUAGCUGGGUUAGUUGUGGAUUUUUCAUGACUAAACUACGUGGAUUGUCUAACAGAGUUAUUUAUUGAUCAACAAGACAUGGCUAAGUUCAAGAAGAGGCUUGGGCUAAGUACAGUGCUCGGUUUGACAAAAAAAAUCCCAUAAUUCUUCAUAUAUUCUUUUAAUCACUCACAAAUUUAGUUAGGAAAUUCCAAAGAUUGAGACCCAAAAAUUCUUUAAAUUAGGCUUAGAAGGAGCUCAUCAAGUUAGAUUUGUUAUUUUUUAUUAUUAUUUUAAACUUUUUAGUUUGGUUAGAACUUUUAUUGCUUGGUAUUUUAUGAUUAGGACUUUUAGUUUCAUUUCUUGUUUACGUCAAUUUUUUAUAUUUAUUUAAAUAAUUAUAAAUAUAUUAAAAGAUACAAACUAUUGAAGAGAAAAUAUGCAGUAAUAAAUUUUUAAAUUAAAAUUUUUAUGUCGGUAUUCUACAAAAUUUAACGGGUUUGUGUUUCAUGUUUUUUUUUUUAUUAUUAUUAUUAUCCCCCGCAUCACUUACUUCCAAAUGAUGGUGUGAUAGCUGAAGCCAAUCAGUGAUGAUCUACUGGUGGAGGAAGCAAAUAUCACUUGCUUUUGUGUGGGGUGAAGAACAAGAUGCAUACCCCCUCGCACGUCACUACACAUGUAAGCAAGUUGGCAUUUGUUGGUGUGAUAGAUUUUAAUGCUAUAAAACAAAAGGAAGAAAAGAAAAGAAAAGGUGCGGUCAUUCCAUAAGGCCUCAACGUUAAUUAACUUCAUCAGAACUAAUUAAUGUUGGAUAGGAAAUAGAUCACUACAACAUGACCAAAUCAAACAAACUAUAUAUAUAUAUGAUAAUGACUUUAACUUAAUUUAAUUUGAGGAAUGAAAUUAAGCCACAGUAGGAAUUGAUGAUCAUUGAUGGAAUCAACAUGGUAGAUAAGGCUUAAGCUCUUCGAGGUUUGCUUCCUAACCAUUGAUCAAUCAAGUUUCCAAAAGCAACAUACGAAGAUCCACCCUCCAUCACAGCUUUCUUCGCCAUUUCACUGGUUUCUUUGGCCUUGUUCCUAAGUUCACCACCAUGUUCCAUCACGGUUUUCACAGCUUUUGUUAUCACCUCCGCCUUCACAAAAUCUGUAGGACAAUCUCUCCUAAAAUCCAACGUCAAUUCCACUGCUAAUCCCAAGUCUUUCACCAGCUGAAAUGCAUUCAUGUGUUGCUCAGCAUGCAAUGGCCAAGUUAUAAUAGGCACAGCAUACCACAAGGUCUCCAAAGUUGAGUUCCAUCCACAGUGUGAUACGAAAGCGCCUACUGCUUUAUGUGCCAAGAUUUCUACUUGUGGUGCCCAUCCACAUAGCAUCCCAAUAUUUUUAGUUCUUUCCAAGAAUCCCUGUGGCAAGAUCUCUCCAUAGUUGUCAAAAAAACUAGCUUGCAGCUUCCCCUUGGAGGGUUUCAACCGAAUUGACCAUAAGAACCUCUGUCCACUCCUCUCGAGCCCGAUUGCAAUUUCUUUCAACUGAGCUUCAUCAAAGCAUCCUCUACUCCCGAAGCACAAGAACACCACUGAUUUUUCAGGUUGAUCAUCAAGCCAUUUCAAGAUCUCGUCACGCUUGACGGCAUCGGAUCCUGACAGACUCUUUCCCCUGUGAUCAAUCAAUGGCCCAACAUUGAAAAUAGGUGGUAUAUCAUCUCUAGCCAAAAGAGCACUAACUGCAUGGGACUCAGCUUCUGAAAAUGUAUUAACAAUGAUACCGUUCGACUCCUUAAACUUUCUUCCAUGGUUUGCAAUAGCCUCAUAUGCCACAUCGGUGUGCAAUAACGGCAUAACACGGUAAGGCACGGGAUUUGAAUAACAGGGGAUGAUAUAGUCAGGGUCAGUAGGGCUAAACUUAGGCUCACCCUUGUCUUCUCUAUCUGAAAGGUAAAGCGUCAAGGCAAGAAAGGCAGCAUCACAAGUGUAAAAAACAUGAGAAGGGACCCCAAGUUCUUUGGAAACAUCAAUAAAUGCAGUGCAAAACAUAUCAACAACAACACUAGCAAUUGGUGCAGGGUUGUGGGCCAUGACUAGGUUAACAAUAGUAUCUUUCACAAGGGUUUUGUGAUCAUUGAUGUAAGAAGUAAAAGCACUUGCAGGGCUUACAGCUAAAGCAUCUGGAGGAGGUGCAGGUAUGGUCUCAGGAAUUUCGAUGAACCUGAUUUCUGUAUAAAUUGAAGCAAGCGAUUUGAUUUUCUUGCUUAUGCCACCGUCAAAUGGAUUGUUGAUGGCAAGCAUGGUUAUCAAGAAACUGUCGUUUCUCUCAAGAACCGUCUUUGCUAACUGAACAGCUGGUACAAGGUGGCCAAAUCCAGGUGCAGGGACAAAGACUAGCUGUGUUUUCUUCAUUUUGGAGGUUUUGAAUGUUCAAUAUGGUGAUCCUUGUUUGCCUUAUAAUGGGCUCAAGGUCAACGCCACAAUGCCAGCUGUUAUGAUUAUUUUUUUUCUAAAUUAAUCAUCAAAUUGGAUGACAAUUAUUACAAAGAUUGAUUUCAUAGAAAACUUUUCUUGUAAUAUUUUUAAACAAUUCAAAUUAAAUAAAACAAAUUAUAAAUAUAAAAGAAAAGAAAGCUAGGGUUUCAUUAAUCAUUUUAUUUUGAAGUUAUAUUUUUAAUCUAUAUAUAUAUAUAUAUAUAUAUAUAUAUAUAUAUAUAAACUAAACUAAAAAUAUUAUUUUAUUUUUAAUAAAUAAAAUUAAAUAAAUAUAUUUUUUAACAACAUUCAUCUAUCCCGUAAGAUAUUAUUUAUCUUUAUUAAAAAAACAUUGUAGAUGAUUUAUUAGGAUAAUUUAAUUAAGUAUGACUUGAUUAAUAUAUAUUUUAGAAAUUAAAAAUUAAAAUAUAAUUAAUAUAAGAAUUAUAUUUGUAAACCUAAAAAAAUCAAGUAGGGACUUAAUUGAUUAAAUUUUUAAAAUUACCCUUAAAUAAUAAAUGGAUAUUAUUUGAGGGCAAAUAUAUAUAUUUUAUCAUUUAAACGGUUUUAGGAUUUUAUUAUCAAUAUAUAUAGCUAAGCCUAUUAUUUUGUAAGUAAAAAAUGAUGGUUGUCUAUUAGAUAGAAAAACUAUGUAAACACAAUAUUAGAGCUAGUACUCUAAGCAUAACAAUCUCUCUUUUCUAAAUAGUGAUUUAAGAGUUUUCUCACAAGUAGUUUGUAUGAAUUAUCAUUAAAAAUCAAAUAAUUAAAUGAUUUUUAGUUUGUGACAACCCAACUUUUAAAGAAUAAUUUAAAAUAAAAAAAUUAAAUAUUCAAAUAAUAAAUCUCUAAAUAAUUUUAAAUCUAAUCUAACAUGAUAUAAGAAAUAAUAUCCCGGUAGUGUGAGUUUGUGUGUAUUGACAACUUAAUAUAUUCAAUCAUGCGAAUUCUUUGUAGGUGUUAUGGUUUCAAAUUGAGGAAGGACGUAGUUUUUAAUUAAUGUAUCAAAAUUGAUUUAAUAAUACCUUACUAUUAAAAAGAAGAAGAAGUCAACAACAAUGAUUGAUUGUGACUGCAUUUAAUAGCUAGAUAGUUACAUGGCUAGAAAGGAUCCAAAGAUAAUAUAUACAUGAUGAUAUUCUGUUUAAAUUUAUUAAAUGGCAAUUUCGUAGGAAUUGCUGAAGUGUUAAAUUGUGGAUGAAGUUUAAUUUGAUGAAUUUUUAUUUUUAUUUUUAUUUUAUUCUAUUGUACUUUUCAUCAUUGGUAGUUAUUUAUGAAAAAUAUUAUAUCACUAUUUAUAUCAAAAUUAUUCACACAAAAAUUCUAUCACUAUUAUCUUCUAAAAUUAUUGAUGAAAAAUUUCUCAUUGGCAUUUCUGAUUUUAUUUAUUAAUUUUCUGGUAAUAAUAAUAAUCUUAUGCUUAGGUUUAUAAUCCUAUAAUUUAAAAAAUAGUAUCGAUACCUGAAACUUAAAAGAAUAUUAAACCUUCCAUUUUUAAUUUAUAUGAAAUAUUGAUAAUACAACUAAUCAAACAUAAACUAACAAUCAUUUAAACAAAAUUUAAGAAUUGAUUGUAGAAUUACAUAAAUUAAUUUUAAAAUUUUUAAAAAUUACAUUUUAUAAAUUUUUACCAAGUAAUUCUACCAUCAAUUCCUAAACCUAACAAUCAUUUAAACAAAUUUUAAGAAAUGAUGAUAGAAUUACUUGGUAAACUUUUAUGAAAAUAAGCAAACUUUCUUAAUAAUCAUAUAUAUUCAUCCUUCUGAUUAAAUGACACUUAAAUGUUUAAAGUAAAAAAUACCUACAUUUAACAAAACAAGAUUCAAGGUUCUUUUACAAUGAAGACGCUAUCGUUUCAUACACAUAUUAUAAACGAGAAAUCCAAACCAACAAGAUCAAAAAAUAAAAUAUAUACAUAAACUUUCGAGUCAAAAUAUUAUAUUUUUAAAAGAGAGAAUACAAACAAUGUUAGUCCAUUUAAAGCUAUCACAUGCCCAACUAUUCUAAUGGCUCUAAAUUUCAACUCUAAUGAAAAACAAAAUAUUAAAAAAUAAUUUUUUAUAUAUUUUAAAUAAAUUUAGGUAGUAAUUAAAAUAAAGUAUACAAUAUUAAGAUUAUUCAAAAUGUUAAUCUCACAUCAUGCAUAAACUAAUAUGAGCUUAUCUUUUAAUGUAUCAUGAAUGAUUUUAUUGGUGUGGUUUUUUUUUUCCUUACAUUACAUGUAUCUCAAUUAAUUUUUUAAAAUUCUAAAUUUUACAACCAUGUAAUGUAUUGAUAGGGCAGGCAGUGAGGUGACUGUUUCUAGAGGGACGGGUGCUUGUAAAUUGGAUAGUGGCCAUAAGCAAAAAAUAAAGGACGAGGAGAGAGAGAAAAAAGUUGUGCAUAAUUUGUGUAACAUGUGAUGGUGGGACAGGGAUAAUAAUCAUAUAUAUAUAUAUAUAUAUAUAUAUAUAUAUAUAUAUAUGCGUAUGUGUAUUUUUAAAAAAAUAUCAUAUUAUUUUUUUAAAUAUAUUCAAUAAAUAAGUAGGCUUCGGUUAAUAUUCAAAAGUCUCAUGUUAAAUUAUUAUCCCUGUCCCACCAUUUUACACAAAUUAUGCACAACUUUUUUUCUUUCUCCUCGUCCUUUAUCUUUUUGCUUAUUGCCGUGGCUUGUCGAUCCCUCACUGUCCAAUUUACACGCACCCGUCUCUUUUAAAACAGUUCUUUUAAAUUUUAAUGGCAAUAGGUAAAUGAUUAGAUUUUAGAUUUAUUUUCUAAAAUUAUUUAUUUAGUUUUUAUAAAUUUUAGAAUGAUUGAAGGUUUAUAUGGUCGUUAAUUUCAGAGUUUCUAGAAUUAAUCAAGAUAGACACAAACUGACUCACACAUCAAUAUUAAUAAUAAUAAAAAAUGGUAUUAGGUGGUGUGAUAGAUUUUAAUGCUAUAAAACAAAAGGAAGAAAAGAAAGAAAAAGGUACGGUCAUUCCAUAAUAAGGCCCCAACUUUAAUUAACUUCAUCAGAACUAAUGUUGGAUAGGAAAUACAUCACUUCAACAUGACCAAAUCAAACAAACUAUAUAUAUGAUAAAGACUAUAACUUAAUUUGAGGAAUGGAAUUAAGCCACAGUAGGAAUUGAUGAUCAUUGAUGGAAUCAACAUGGUAGAAAGGCCUAAGCUCUUCAUGGUUUGCUUCCUAACCACUGAUCAAUCAAGUUUCCUAAAGCAACAUACGAAGAUCCACCCUCCAUCACAGCUUUCUUCGCCAUUUCACUGGUUUCUUUGGCCUUGUUCCUAAGUUCACCACCUUGUUCCAUCAUGGUUUUCACAGCUUUUGUUAUCACCUCCGCCUUCACAAAAUCUGUAGGGCAAUCUCCCCUAAAAUCCAACGUCAAUUCCACUGCUAAUCCCAAGUCUUUCACCAGCUGAAAUGCAUUCGUGUGUUGCUCAGCAUAUAAUGGCCAAGUUAUAAUAGGCACAGCAUACCACAAGGCCUCCAAAGUUGAGUUCCAUCCACAGUGUGAUACGAAAGCGCCUACUGCUUUAUGUGCCAAGAUUUCUACUUGUGGUGCCCAUCCACAUAGCAUCCCAAUAUUUUUAGUUCUUUCCAAGAAUCCCUGUGGCAAGAUCUCUCCAUAGUUGUCAAAAAUACUAGCUUGCAGCUUCCCCUUGGAGGGUUUCAACCGAACGGACCAUAAGAACCUCUGUCCACUCCUCUCGAGCCCGAUUGCAAUUUCUUUCAACUGAGCUUCAUCAAAGCAUCCUCUACUCCCGAAGCACAAGAACACCACUGAUUUUUCAGGUUGAUCAUCAAGCCAUUUCAAGAUCUCGUCACGCUUGACGGCAUCGGAUCCUGACAGACUCUUUCCCUUGUGAUGAAUGAUCAAUGGCCCAACAUUGAAAAUAGGUGGUAUAUCAUCUCUAGCCAAAAGAGCACUAACGGCAUGGGACUCAGCUUCUGAAAAUGUAUUAACAAUGAUACCGUUGGACUCCUUAAACUGUCUUCCAUGGUUUGCAAAAGCCUCGUAUUCCACAUCGGUGUGCAAUAACGGCAUAACACGGUAAGGCACGGGAUUUGAAUAACAGGGGAUGAUAUAGUCAGGGUCAGUAGGGCUAAACUUAGGCUCACCCUUGUCUUCUCUAUCUGAAAGGUAAAGCAUCGUGGCAAGAAAGGCAGCAUUAGAAGUGUAAAAAACAUGAGAAGGGACCCCAAGUUCUUUGGCAACAUCAAUAAAGGCAGUGCAAAACAUAUCAACAACAACACUAGCAAUUGGUGCAGGGUUGUGGGUCAUGACUAGGUUAACAAUAGUAUCUUUUACAAGGGUUUUGUGAUCAUUGAUGUAAGAAGUAUAAGCACUUGCAGGGCCUACAGCUAAAGCUUCUGGAGGAGGUGCAGGUAUGGUCUCAGGAAUUUCAAUGAACCUGAUUUCUGUAUGAAUUGAAGCAAGCGAUUCGGUGUUCUUGCUUAUGCCACCGUCAAAUGGAUUGUGGAUGGCAAGCAUGGUUAUCAAGAAACUGUCGUUUCUCUCAAGAACCAUCUUUGCUAACUGAACAGCUGGUACAAGGUGGCCAAAUCCAGGUGCAGGGACAAAGACUAGCUGUGUUUUCUUCAUUUUGGAGGUAUUGAAAUUUGAAUGUUCAACACUGUGAUCCUUGUUUGCCUUAUAAUGGGCUCAAGGUCAAUGCCACAAUGCCAGCUGUUAUGAUUUUGUUUUUCUAAAUUAAUCAUCAAAUGGGAUAUGACAAUUAUUACAAAGAUUGAUUUCAUAGAAAAAUUUUCUUGUAAUAUUUUUAAACAAUUCAAAUUAAAUAAAAAAAUAUAUAAAUAUAAAAGAAAAGAAAGCUAGGUUUCAUUAAUCAUUUUAAAUUAUAUGAAAUAUUGAUAAUACAACUAAUCAAACAUAAACUAACAAUCAUUUAAACAAAAUUUAAGAAUUGAUGGUAGAAUAUCAUAAAGUAAUUUUUAUAAAUUUUACCAAGUAAUUCUACCAUCAAUUCCUAAAACCUAACAAUCAUUUAAACAAAAUUUAAGAAUUGAUGGUAGAAUUGCAUAAAUUAAUUAUAAAAAUAUAAAAAUUAAUUUUUAUAAAUUUUACCAAUAAUUCUAUCAUCAAUUCCUAAAACCUAACAAAAUUUAAGAAUUGAUGAUAGAAUUACUUGGUAAAAAUUUAUGAAAAUAAGCAAACUUUCGUAAUAAUCAUAUAUACUCAUCCUUCUUAUUAAAUGACAUUUAAAUGUCUAAAGUAAAGACAAAACAAAAUUCAGGGUUCUUCUACAAUGAAGGUUAGUAUAUGAAAUGAGAGGGUUAGGUUGGGACAAAGAGAAGAGGGUUAGAUGGAAAGGUUAGGUAGGGAGAUAAGAUGGUUUGAUUGGGACAAGGAGAAGAAGGUUUGGUUAGGCCAUCACCAACUCAUCUCUGUUCAUAUUUUCAUCUCGGUCGUAGCAACACUGUGCUGAAACUAUCUUGUGAAUUUGUUGUCUUUGAACGUCAUUCAAUGCACAAAAGCUCCAAAAUCUACCAUCAAGACAAGUCAUUAACAACGCCAAAAUUAGUGUCUACACAAAUUUGGUCUCCCACACACACAGGCUAUAUAUAAAAACUAGAUUGGUGUUCCGUAAUACGUAGCGGAUAAUCUUAUUUUUUUAUAGCAUAAAAGAUACUAAGAUGAUAUAUGUAUUUUUCUUAAAAAAAUUAAUAUUCAGGUCAUUAACUUAAAUAACUUUAAUAAACUCGGUUAAUUUAAUAAUAUGAUUAGAAAAUAAAAUUAUCGUUUUCGUAGUUUUUAUAUCUAACAGACAAUCAUCCUUUUUGCUUACAAAAUAACAGGCUUAGCUUUAUAUUUAUAGAGAAUCCUAAAAAUCCUAUAAAUGACAAAAUAUAUAUUUUCUCCUUAAAUAAUAUCUAUAUAUUAUUUAAGGAUAAUUUUAUAAAUUUAAUCAAUCAAGUCCUUACUUGAUUUUUUUAAUUCUAAAAAUAUAAUCCUUAUAUUCAUUAUAUUCUAGUUCUUAAUUUCUAAAAUAUAGUUUAAUCAAGUCAUACUUAAUUAAAUAUCCUAGUUUAAUUUAUAAUUAAUCAUUCUUAAUGUGUGUGACUUAUUAAUUAGGUUCAUAAUAUGUUGGCCCAAAUAUAAAUUAUGAUUCUAAUUAAAUAGAAUUAAAUAAUUUAAUUUAUUAUUAAUUUAACAAUUGAUUAAUUUAUAUUUAAAGAUCAGAUGCAUUGUCUAGUAACGUGUCAUGAUCCCCCUAAAUAUUAGAAAAGUAAUUAGUGGUUUGACUUAACCUUUCAGUGCCCUUUUUUCCAGUGUAAUUAAUAUCCUUUCAUCAAUAAUAUUUCGAUUUAACAUUAAAACAUGAAGUAUGUCUGUCAUGUUAAAUCAUGUUUAUUUUUUACAUAAUAGUCAUUGAUCGUUUAAAUAAGAUUUGAAACUCUUUUCAAAUCUCAUUUCACCUUGGCUAAUGAUUUCUCAGUCAAUACUAUUUGAGAAUAGAUGAAAUAUUUUCUCUAAUUUACCAAGGGUAAUGAAUUCACUUUUGAUCACUCAAGUACCUUUAUAUAAUUCAUAUUAUACUCAAUAUCUUCCCUUUCGUUACCUCGAUUAAGAUAAGAUGUAACAAGAUUAAAGUAUAACAUUCUCUAUAUAAAAUGAUUUAAUGAUCUUAAGUCUAAGGAUCACUUACACAACCGUCACGUGAGCCUUUUUAUAGACAUAUGUAAUCUCUCCAUAUGAAAUUCGCAUGCAGAUCAGUUAAGUAUACAUAUCUUAUGACAAGCACCUACAUAUUACUAGGUAUCCCUUAUACCUUAACUUAUGAAAACAGUUGUUUCCUUUCAUGAAAAAAAGAACAUAAUAUGUAUCAAUCUUUACGACUCUAAUGAAUAUCCAGUAUUUAAGAAAGCAUCAACCCAUAUUAUUUUAAAAACAAUGUUUAGAUGCAAUAGAAAUCUCAUAAUUUCAACAACUUUAUAAUUUUAUUUGCAAAGUAUUUAUAUCUAAUGAACUUUAUCUUUACUCUCGAUUUAUUAAUAUGAUAUUAUAUAGAUAUUUAAAAUAAAUUAUUUUUUUAUUAAUAAUAAAUAAGUAUUUACAUGAAUAUAAUAAUAUCACGUGUAACCAACUAAUUGAUUACAAGAUAUAUUAAACUAACACAAUGAUACAUGAACUAUUAUGUGUUUGGAUUAUAAUUUUUUUAUCAAUCACUUAUUACUAAAAUACUAAAACUUGACUGUUGAAUCAAUUUAAAAAACAACUAAAAUAAUUAUCUUAACCUUGUAAAUUAUAUUGUUAAUAUGAAAAACUAUAUUACAACUUAAAACAAAAUAAAAAAAGUAGAGUUUUAGUUUUUCUAUUUGAAAAUUUCAAAUCUUAAAACAUUGGUGAUGAACGAAUUCACGAUUGAUGGUGGCUUUUUUGAAACGUAACAGAAAGAUUUCUAAUUCAAAUACUACCGCAGGUGACAAUUAAACCAUAAUAGUUCAGGGAUAUUUAUACCUUAUAGCCUGAAUUAAAGGUAUAUAUAUCUAACCAUCUAGGUAGUGACCUAGUUAUAAGAGCUUGGAAUCAAGAGGUUUGCUCCCUCUGUGGUCUCAAGUUCGAGCCCUGUGGUUGCUCAUAUGAUAGCUACUGGAGGCUUACAUGGUCGUUAACUUCAGGGCCCGUGGGAUUAGUCGAGGUACGCGCAAGCUAGCCGGAUACCCUCGUUAAACUAUAUAUAUAUAUAUAUAUAUAUAUAUAUAUAUAAAAAGGUAUAUAUACCUUCUUUCAAAUAUAAGAAAAUCAAGGUGUCAUCUUCCAGAGAUCAUGUAGUCCAGCAAACGGGGAAGCCGUAGCAUGGAAUGGAGUGACCAGUGAUCGAGAUUGCGAGAAAUACCCUCGGAAGGGAAGGCACUGAAUUCAUGGAAGCCACCAGCUAGCAAGGGAAAAGACUAGCCAAGUUUUUGUCACGACGGAGACAGGAAAGAUGCCCACUUGAUUUGAUCGAUAGCCACUUCCGGCCUAAAGGUAUCGAGACUUGAGCCCCUAGUUUUUGACCUCUCUUCUGAUUUCUUUCACUCUUUUUCGUCAAUAAAGAUAAAUAUAUCAUUCCUUUUUUGGGUUGAAUAUAAUUUUUAAUUUAGUUUAUAUAUAAUUUUUUUAUAUUUAGAUUAAAAAUACAAUUUUAGAAUAAAGUGAUUAAUUAAACUAGCUUUUUCCUCUCUUGUAUUUAUAUUUCUCUUUGUUGUUUAAUUUAGAUUAUUUAACAAAUGUUACAUAAAAGUUUUUCUAUGAAAUCAAUCUAAUAGUUGUCAUAUCCAAUUUGAUGAUCAAUUUAGGAGAAAAAAAACCAUAACAGCUGGCAUUGUGGCAUUGACCUUGAGCCAUUAUAAGGCAAACAAGGAUCACCAUAUUGAACAUUCAAAACCUCCAAAAUGAAGAAAACACAGCUAGUCUUUGUCCCUGCACUUGGAUUUGGCCACCUUGUAUCAGCUGUUCAGUUAGCAAAGAUGGUUCUUGAGAGAAAUGACAGUUUCUUGAUAACCAUGCUUGCCAUCCACAAUCCAUUUUCCGGUAGCAUAAGCAAGAACACCAAAUCGCUUGCUUCAAUUCAUACAGAAAUCAGGUUCGUCGAAAUUCCUGAUACCAUACCUGCACCUCCUCCAGAAGCUUUAGCUGUAGGCCCUGCAAGUGCUUAUACUUCUUACAUCAAUGAUCACAAAACCCUUGUAAAAGAUACUAUUGUUAACCUAGUCAUGGCCCAAAACCCUGCACCAAUUGCUAGUGUUGUUGUUGAUAUGUUUUGCACUGCCUUUAUUGAUGUUGCCAAAGAACUUGGGGUCCCUUCUCAUGUUUUUUACACUUCUGAUGCUGCCUUUCUUGCCACGAUGCUUUACCUUUCAGAUAGAGAAGACAAGGGUGAGCCUAAGUUUAGCCCUACUGACCCUGACUACAUCAUCCCCUGUUAUUCAAAUCCCGUGCCUUACCGUGUUAUGCCGUUAUUGCACACCGAUGUGGAUUAUGAGGCUUUUGCAAACCAUGGAAGAAAGUUUAAGGACUCAAACGGUAUCAUUGUUAAUACAUUUUCAGAAGCUGAGUCUCAUGCAGUUAGUGCUCUUUUGGCUAGAGAUGAUAUACCACCUAUUUUCAAUGUUGGGCCAUUGAUUGAUCACAAGGGAAAGAGUCUGUCAGGAUCCGAUGCCGUCAAGCGUGACGAGAUCUUGAAAUGGCUUGAUGAUCAACCUGAAAAAUCAGUGGUGUUCUUGUGCUUCGGGAGUGGAGGAGGCUUUGAUGAAGCUCAGUUGAAAGAAAUUGCAAUCGGGCUCGAGAGGAGUGGACAUAGGUUCUUAUGGUCCGUUCGGUUGAAACCCUCCAAGGGGAAGCUGCAAGCUAGUUUUUUUGACAACUAUGGAGAGAUCUUGCCACAGGGAUUCUUGGAAAGAACUAAAAAUAUUGGGAUGCUAUGUGGAUGGGCACCACAAGUAGAAAUCUUGGCACAUAAAGCAGUAGGCGCUUUCGUAUCACACUGUGGAUGGAACUCAACUUUGGAGGCCUUGUGGUAUGCUGUGCCUAUUAUAACUUGGCCAUUAUAUGGUGAGCAACACAUGAAUGCAUUUCAGUUGGUGAAAGACUUGGGAUUAGCAGUGGAAUUGACGUUGGAUUUUAGGAGAGAUUGUCCUACAGAUUUUGUGAAGGCGGAGGUGAUAACAAAAGCUGUGAAAACCAUGAUGGAACAAGGUGGUGAACUUAGGAACAAGGCCAAAGAAACCAGUGAAAUGGCGAAGAAAGCUGUGAUGGAGGGUGGAUCUUCGUAUGUUGCUUUUGGAAACUUGAUUGAUCAAUGGUUAGGAUGCAAACCUUGAAGAGCUCAAGCCUUAUCUACCAUGUUGAUUCCAUCAAUGAUCAUCAAUUCCUACUGUGGCUUAAUUCCAUUCCUCAAAUUAAAUUAAGUUAUAGUCUUUAUCAUAUAUAUAGUUUGUUUGAUUUGGUCAUGUUGUAGUGAUGUAUUUCCCAUCCAACAUUAGUUCUGAUGAACUUAGUUAAAGUUUUUUUUUUUUUUUUGUUGAAAACUUGGUUAAAGUUGAGGCCUUAUGGAAUGACCGUACCUUUUUCUUUUCUUUUCUUUUAUAUAUAUAUAUAUAUCCUUGGAAGCAUGAAAGAAAACUUUUAAAUUUACCCGUUUGGGAUUGCCAUCUAAAUAAAGAUUAGUCAAAAUUAUUAUUUUUUUUAAUUAUUUUGAUGAGUUAAUAUUAAAAAUAAAAUAAAAAUAUAUAUAUUAUUCUAAUAAAGAUUAGUCAAAUAAAAAAUAGUUCUUGAUGGACAAUUAAAAAUUGCUGGAACAAAUCAAGGGACCCAACACUAGCAUUAAAAUCUAUCACACCAACUAAUGCCAACUUGCUUAAAUGUGUAGUGACGUGCAAAUUAGAAAUAGUUCUGAUUGAUGGUUUGAUUCAAUUCAUCCCUAGCUUUUUUUAAAAUAAAAAAACUUAAACUUCGUUGUUUUGGUAAAAAUAUAAUUGGUUUUUUCACUAACUUGACCAAGCAAAGCUCAGUGGGUUAUUGUGUUGAUUUGAUCACCAAAUUAACCUAUCAAGUCAAACUUUGAAUAAAUAAAUCGUUAAAUUAACCUCUCGGACUGGAUUGUAUCUUAUACCAAUAAACUUCACAUUCACCUUUUCCUACAGCUACAGGUAUUACUAGAAUGAAUAAACCACAGCUGGUGUUAAUUCCUGCUGCAACCUUGUGUCAGCAAUUGAGUUAGCAAACCACAUGCUUUGAUGAGCCUCAAUUGAAAGACAUCAAACGGGCUCAAGCAGAGUGCACACAAGUUCUUAUGAUACAUUCAGAAACCACCAUCCAAGGGUCAGUUCCUGUUUGGAGAUCACGUCAGAAGGAUUCCUCAGAAGGACUAAAAAUGUUAGCGUGAUAUGCGAUUGGACACCGCAAGUGCAGGUCUUGGCAUACAAAGCAAUAGCUACAUUUGUAUCGCAUUGUGGAUGGUACUCAAUCUUGGAAAGCUUAUGGUAUGGUGUGCCUAUUAUAACUUCGGCCAUUGUAUGAUAAGCAAUAAAUUAAUGCAUUUAAAUUGGUCAAGUUUUUGGGAUUAGCUAUUGAGUUGAGUUGAAAAUGGAUUAUAAAUUGGGUGAUGGUGUUAUAAAAUUCACAGUCAUUAGAAAUAUGGUUUUUAGCAAUUGAAUUAUAAGUUAAUUACAAAUUCUAGCAAGAUAAUUUAUUAUCUAUGGUUUAUCAAACUUGCUUGCAAAGCAGUUGAGAUUUAGGGAACUAAAAAUGAUAAAGUAAGUAAUCUUUAAAUAAAUGAUCAUCAUAGAUGAGUGAAAGAGCAUUUAUUUUUAAAAACAAUAGUGUUUAUUUUUAGUUUUGAUGUAAUGAAUGCUUUGAAAUUAAGAAAAUAUUUUUGUAGAGAAUAAAGACUAGAACUUUGUACCUGAAUGAUUCAUAAGGCAUUUAUAAAUCUCGAACCUUGUCAUUUUUACUAGAGUAUAGCGACUAGAGAGUAAUUUUCUCCUAACAAUAUUAAUAGGGGAUAAAUAACAUUUACACACAUUAAUAAAUGAUAAAAUAUCCCUUAGCCAAUAUUAAUGGUGAAGGAAAUAUGGUAGACCCUUAGAAGACUUUUAUACAUCUAGAGAUGUAGAUAGAUGAAUAUCAUUGACAUUAAUAUUUUAUGUUAAAAAUCAUAAGAAUAAAUAAACAAUUAAAGUCUUAUGGCCCAACAUAGGACCUAUAAUGAUCGCCAGACUCAUAUUUACUUAAGCUCUCCACGUAGCUAAGUCCACUGGCAUUGGGCCUGACAACUUGCCAGAUCCAUGUCCGUUUGGGCUUAACGCGUAACUGAACUCAAUGUAUUGAAUCUGACAGCUUGUCAGACUCAUGUUUGCUUGGACUUAAUAUAUAGCUGAAUCUAAGGAUAUUAAGUCUGGUAGCUCGCCAGACUUAUAUCUCUUUGGGCUCAGCACGUAGCCUAACCCAAGGAUAUUGAGUCUAACAUCUCGUCAGAUCCGUGUCUAUUUAGGCUAAUCGCUUAACUGAACUCAAUAAUAUUAGAUCUGGUGGCUUGCUAGACUCAUGCACAUUGAAACUCUACUCUUAACUACAUCGAAAGGCAUUGGGUCUAGAACAGAGAUGUUAUUUUAACCCGGUAUUCUGUCAAGUUUAAAGAUAUUGGGUAUAAAUAUAAGCCCCGCCUAUUUAUUAUUGAAUUAUCACCCUAUCUUCGGACCUUUAAAAAAAGAUUUCGACUUCAAAUUACUUUUUUAAAAUAUGAUUUGGGAUAAAGUAACCUUAUGAAGGAAAAUGAGGUAGGAAGCAGUGAAAUGCUUGAUAGAAAACGCUAGUGAAGUGAAAAACAAGGUUAGAGAAGUGAGUAAAAAGGCUAGGCAAUCUCUGUUAGAGGGUGGAUCUUCACAUACUGCUUUUGGAUACCUGAUUAGUCGAUGGCUAGUAAACAAGGUUUGAAGAAGUGACUCUCGACAUACGUAAAACGCGUGGGUUUUUUUUUAUUGUAAAGACAGGUAUUGUUUACACCCAUAUAAAUUAUUAUGGAUGGCACCUGUGCAUUUUUACAAAUUCAUUUUAGUCCUUUAAUUUUGUUUUUCAAUGAUUUAAUCCUAAUUAAAGAUCAAUUGACUAUAAUUUCUUAGGAAAAUAUGGGGUUGAAAGAAGUUCUUCGUUUUUCUAAAUCCUUUUUACUUGAGAGUCUUUCCUUUAUUUUUCUAUUUAAAGAUUUAUAUUCUCACAAUUUGUUCAUUUAGGUACUUUGUUUAAUGGAUUUGUUAAAACAAUUUAAACUGUAUUUGUUUGCACAAUAGCUUAAUACUCAGGGUAUUAUUCAUCAACUUUAAUAUAUCUUUUUUUUCACUCAUUUAGUCCAACAACAUUUAUCACCCUCGUUUAAUUCUUACUUUUUCAAUUUCUAUAAACACAAUAAAAACUAUUGUCUUUAGGAUUGCAAGACAUGCACGCUUCAAAGUUUUAAAAGUUCUUUUUUUAAUCUAAAACAUUUUGUUAAUAACAAUGAGAAAUAGUGCUAAUAAUUUAAUUUGCUAAUCUGAAAUGUACUCCAUUAAAUUUAAUUUAUUUGACGAGUGGUACCAGUUGAAAUUAAGAUCAAACAAGGUUUGAUUUAAAAGAAUAAAAAAUAAUAUUAUUUUAACUUCUUAAUUGUUUUUAAAUAAUAUUAUUUUGAAUUAAUUUGUCUAAAUCAUUACUGAAAUCUAAAAAAAAUUAAUUAUGAGUAGAUUUGGCCGAGUUUUUAACAAUGAGCAGGAGUUGAUGAAUAAUUUAUACAAUAGUAAAUUGAUGUUUUUUAAAGGUAAUUCUAACAUAAUUUGAUUAAUCAAAUUCUAAGAUUAAAGGAGGUCAAACAUGAGAGAGAGAGAGAGAGAGAGAGAGAAAUCUUGAAAAAGAAUUAAAUCAUAAUUUAUUAUUUUUUUAGCAGAAUAAACGCAUAAAUAAAAGUUCUAACAAAUCUUUUGCCUUUACGAGAAGAUUGAUAUGGUAAGUGAGGCAACCACUACCAAGUUGUCGUUUUAUAUUUGAUGGGUAAUAACCCGGCUAAACGACACCUCUUGGGUUGUUGGCCUGGGUUUUGGUAAGGGCUAGAUUCUCUUGCUCUUUUUUUUUUUUUUUUUCUUUUUAGUUCUUUUUUUUAUCUCGAAGCAUGAAACAAUAAAAAAAUAAUUUAGUUCAUAAAAUAUUUUAAAUUUUAUUCUCUCGUAUUUAAGAAGUAUUAUGUUGUGGCUUGCUAGGCAGACUCAUCGUGCAACCAAAUUAAUCAAACCCAAAAAAAAAGAGAUUUCGAUCAUCAUCUCUCUCUGUUUUUUUUUUAAGGAAAUAUAUUGAUUCUCCCUCUAAUCAAUGCGAAAAAAAACAUGAAGUGGGGACAACACCUUUUAGCUUCUCCCUGGUUAAAUAUCAAUUACUGUUGCAUUUUCAAAAAACAAUUAUUAUAUGUAUAGUCCUUACCAUAAUUAUUGUAAAAUAAAUUAAUAAAAAAAUCUCUCAGGGACCCUAUUUUUUCCUCACCUAAUCGUCAACGCAUGGCAGCACUCAGUUGUUGAAGAUUCCACUAUAUUUAUUCUCAACCAAUUUUCAGAGUAAAAGAGCAUUGAAUUCCGACUAUAUAUAGUGCCCCAUAACCCAGUCCCAUAUUAUUUAUCCAAAAAAAAGAAAUCACACAGAAGCCAAAAACCUUCCAUAUCCGCCAAAAAUGGCACCCGCUCAAACCACCACACCCAAGAAUGCACUGGUCUUCGUCCCAGCACCAGGAAUUGGUCAUCUUGUAUCAGUCAUGGAGUUUGCAAAACGUUUGCUUGAAAGAGAUGACAGUUUCUCCAUCACAAUGCUUCUUAUGUCCCCACCAUUUGCACAUGAUGUUACAACCUAUGUUGAGAAACUUAAUGCAGCUCACCCAGAAUUUCAAUUUCUUGGUCUGCCUUCUGUAACCCCACCACCCCUAGAAGAUGUUCUUGCUUGUCCUGAACAUUUUGUGUCAGUUUUCAUCGCUGAUCAUAAGAACCAUGUUAAGGAUAUGAUUGUCAACCAUGUUUUGUCCAACAAGUCAGUUAAACUUGCUGGUUUGGUUCUUGAUUUGUUUUGUACUGCCUUUGUUGAUGUUGCCAAAGACCUUGGUGUCCCUUCUUAUAUUUUCUUUGCUUCUGGUGCUGCUUUUCUUGGUUCCAUGCUUUACCUCCCUUAUAGAUUUGACAAGGGAGGAGUCACCUACAAACCAACCGAUCCUGACUCUAUUAUCCCUAGUUACAUCAACCCAGUUCCCUCCAGGGUGUUGCCAAGUUUGUUGUUCCAUGAUGGUGGGUAUUCAACUUUCGUAAGCCAUGCUAGGAAAUUCAAGGAGGCAAAGGGUAUCAUUGUCAAUACAUUUGCAGAGCUAGAAUCCCACGCUGUUAACUAUCUUAAUGGCGAGGCAGGUGUACCCCAUGUUUACACUGUGGGGCCAGUGGUUGAUCACAAGGGCAACAGUCCAGUAGCUGAUGGGAACCAACGUGAAGAGAUCAUGAACUGGCUCGACGCUCAGCCACAGAAAUCAGUGGUGUUUCUGUGCUUUGGAAGUCAAGGGAGCUUCGGUGUGCCUCAAUUGAAAGAGAUUGCACUUGGGCUUGAGCAAAGUGGCCAAAGGUUCUUGUGGUCUAUUAGGAGACCACCUUCUCAAGAAUCUUUGAACCCCGGUGAAGUUAAUGAUUUUAGUGAGCUUUUGCCCGAAGGGUUUCUGGGCAGGACAAAAAAUGUAGGGUUUAUUUGUGGGUGGGCUCCUCAAGUUGAAGUCUUAGCCCAUAAAGCCACAGGUGCGUUUGUGUCGCAUUGUGGAUGGAACUCAAUUUUGGAGAGUACUUGGUAUGGUGUGCCUGUUGUAACAUGGCCCUUGUAUGGUGAGCAACAAAUCAAUGCAUUCCAGUUGGUAAAGGACGCAGGAGUGGCAAUUGAAAUGAAAAUGGAUUACAGGAAGGAUGGCGGUGAGGUUGUGAAGGCAGACCAAGUAGCAAAAGCAGUGAAGGAUGUGAUUGAAGGUGCUAGUGACGUGAAAAGCAAGGUUAAAGCAAUGAGUGAAACUGGCAGGAAAGCACUGUUGGAGGGUGGAUCUUCAUAUGUGGCAUUUGAAACCUUGGUUGGUGUUUUGUCAGGAAACAAGGCUUGAAGAACUUGCACGCCAUGUUAAAAUCUGAGGUUGAUUCUGCACUUACGUACGUAUGUUACCUCUUGUCUUGGUUCUUUUGGGUGAUGAUGCUAGUGCUAUGCGUCAACCCUAUUAGAUUUGGUUUUGGUCAAUCUUCCUUUUUUUUUCUCUUUCUUUUUUGUCUAGGAUGAGUUCAUGGUUGGUCCCAAAUGCCUCCCCUCUUGUACUCUCAAUAGUCUACAAUAAAAUUAUCUCUUAAUUUAUCAAGAAAGGGAGCUGUCCAUGAUUUGAACGAAUUAAUUUCAGGUUUUACAACUACGACAAAAGACAACGACUAAAUUUAGACCGAGAGCUGAUGUCUUCCACUAAAAAAUAAAGAUAGAUGAACCACUCGAGCAAGCUGUGGUUCCAAAGUAAAAUCAUAUCAUGUGGAAUACAAACGUGUUUCCUUUGAUGGGUCGACUAUUUAUGAGGGCACUCAAUUAAUAAAGACAAACCAAUCUAUAAAUACAUGCAUGUAUUUUAUUUUUUAUUUUUUAUUAUUAUUAAUAUGGGUGUUCGAGCUAACUUGUAUGCAACUUGACUAAUUCUACAAAUUCUAAAAUUAAUAAUCAUAUAAAUUUUUAGUGAUACGAGAUUACUGAAACUUAUAAUUAUUGAAUUUUUUUUCCUUGUGAAAUAGAAACUUUUACAUUUUCCUCCUUUCCCACAAUGACUUUGUGACAACAGCCUGAUAAUUUCCUUAAUCAUGAAUCAACACAAACAAAACUGGCCGACCUUUUCUUAUGUUUUAUGUUUUUUUUUUUCCAAAAGAAAUUCCCACGAAGUAAUUCUUCAUAGGGUGCCUAUAAGAAAAUCUUAAUCAUGCUAUUUCCUCUUUUAAUAGACAAUUAUUGAUUUUUUUAAAAAAAUGUUCUUAUUGUAAUGGUUAAUUUAGAAUAUUCUUAGCCUUAUUUUUGCACACCAAAAAUUUAUUAUUCAUGAGAAACUACCUCCGUUUUAUAUUAUAAUCUAAAAUGUUUUACUUCUCCCGAUGAAAAAAAAAUUGAGUUAUGUUAGUGAAAGAUCUAAUAUUAACUGUUGAAAGCGUAGUUAUAAAAUGCAAAACAUCUGACGGAUGGAACUGGAACCGUAUCGGUUUGUGUUAAAUAAAAAAUAGGUUAAGGUAUAUUUUGAUCUGGCCUAGACUUAUAAAAAACCUCGCAACCCAUUAUGUUAACUUUUUUUUAAAAAAAAAAAAUUUAUUAAAAUAAUUUUUUUUAUUUUUUUUUAAUUAAUUCAUGUCGACUCUCUCGAUCCACCGUAACCUAUGUCCUGUCUGGGUGUUGGCCCCAAGUUAACUGUGGUCAGAAGUUUUAUUAGAACAAAACUAGAGUGGUGCCUAUUUUAUGCUGUGGGUCCGCACAAUUUUUACAAUAAAAUAUUUAGUUAUUGCAAGUAUGUUUAAAAAAUAAAUCUAAUAACUCAUCUUAUAGUUCUGUCGAACUAAAUAAACUGGUUUUAUUUGAAUUACAUAAGUAAAAAAAGAUAAUAAUAUCAAACCAGGAUAUAUGUAUAUUACGACAACAUGGGGAAAAAACUUUAUCCCAGAGGAAAAAAAUCCAAAACAAAAAAUAACAAUUAAAAAAAUUAAAAUUAAAAUUGAAAGAAAAAAUAAAUUAAAGCGCAAUAAUAAAUUUUCAAUUCAAAGUUAAAUCGGAAAGAAUAAAAACAUUAAAAAAUUAAAAGAAUAAGGAUCAAAAUGAAAAAAAAAACAAUACACUACCACCGUGUAAAUAAAUUUUUUUUAAAACAGCCAUCAACAAUAAAUAAAAAUGUAAUCUGAAAAAUUAAGAAACAAAUGUAGAUCAAAAUAUUUAAUAUCACAACACGAGUCAUUUACCAAGUUGUGUUUAAUGAAUUUGUUUAUUAAAAUCAAUUUGUAAUAUAAAUUGACAUACAUAUAAAAUUUAUUGAAUAAAAUAAAAAAUUACUAUGCAAGACUACUCAUAUUAAAAAUAUUAUAAAAAUAAAUAAAUGUGUUUUUAUUUUUAAAAAUAAAUUAAAUAUAUAUAUUAAAAAAAUAAAAUGAGGCAUAACCGGGGCUGGUAAGCUAAACCUAGUGCCUUGACUCAUCAAAAAAGGGCCUACACAUACAUGCUUUAAUUGUUUUUUAAGUUAAUGAGGCGAACAACAAUUCAAUCAUUCCAAUUCUUUGAAAAAAAAAAUAGACGACACUCCGUUUGGAAAACUCAUAUUGUGGCUACAAGAUUCUAGUUUUUUUCACUUGAAAGAUCUAUUUUGAUUCAAAAUAUUUAGAAAAAUACCCUGUAAAUCUUGUUAAAUUAAUUCAUGGCCGCCAAAAACACAUAAAAAAAAAGUCUCAAAACCCAAAUUAAUCUGAAAUAAAAAAAUUUCUCAAAAUCAAAUUUAUUUUUAAGUGUUUUUAAAGUAAAAAAAACAUCUAAUUUGAAGUUAUCUUAUCAAAUAGAAUUUUUUAAUACAAAAUCGAUCAUUUGGUAGCCAAAGUUGUCAUUUACAGCAACAACCUAGAAAAGGAUUCACGAUUGGGCCUAAACAGCCCAUUACCACUGGCUCAAUUCAGUUUGUAUGUCAGCUAUGAAUUUUACAGUGGCAGUGAUCAAUAUGGUAUCAGUGUCAUCAUAUAAAAAACAAUUAUGGCGAAAAAAAUUUAAAAGAACCAAAUUAAAAAUUCUAAAAAAAAAUCAAUAAAACGAAAUACCUCUUUUAAUUUUUAUUGUAAUAAUAAUUCUUAAUUAAUUCUGAAAUAGGUUAUUGUCAGUGUCCAAUUAUAACCGUUAAUAAAUUAGAUAGGAAAGAGUAUAAAAAUACUAAAAAAAAAUUAAAAAUAAAAAGGAAAAUAAAUUUUAGUAUCAAAAUUAAUUUUUAAAAAAAAUUAAAAAAACUAAUUAUAUAAUAGUUAAAACAGAUAAUGAACUUAUUAAACAAAUCUCUAAAUUGUGCCACCUAUGUUUUGUAUAUAUAUUUUAGUUUUUUUAUCUUUCAACUCAAUUUUCUCUCUAAAAAAAUAAUUAAAUACUAAUUUAGGUUUAAAAAAACUUAACUAUAAAAUAAAAAAAAGUUCAGAGAACUAAAUUGAAGAUUCUAAAAAAAAAAUCACUAAACACCUCUUCUAGUUUUUACUGGAAUAAUAAUACUUAAUUAACUAAUAAUUCUUAAUUAAUUUAUCUUUCAACUCAAUUCUCUCUCUAACAAAAAUAAUUGGAUACUAAUUUAGGUUUAAAAAAACUUAAUUAUAAAAUGAAAAAAAAGUUCAAAGAACCAAAUUGAAGAUUCUAGAAAAAAAAAUCACAGUGAAACGAAAUACCUCUCCUAGUUUCUACUGGAAUAGUAAUUCUUAAUUAAUUAUGAAAAAGACUAUUGUCGGUGCACAAUCAUGGCCAUUAAUGACUUAGAUAGGAGAGAGUAUAAAAAUGCUAAUUUGUGAUCUUUGUCGCACAUAGACAAUCUCCACUCUGCACAUGAAUCGUCGUGUCCGUCUCUUCUUUUCACCUUAAAAGACUCCUCUCCUUUUUGCCUUUUCAAAACUGAGUGGAGCGCCGCAUCUGGCAUCCAGCAGUUGGUUUUCAAGAGAAGAAACCGAGAAGAAAACAGUGUGCCUCCCAAAAACUAGUGGAAACCACUAUAUUCUUUCUUCCAAGAGUCGCCUUUUUCAUGUAAAUGUAAACGCUUCCCUGUAGACAAACGUGGAUCAACCGUUUUACACCCUUAUGCCUUCCACGUUUUCUGUACUCAGUUAGAUAUUUAUUCAUCUAAAGGGUCGGUUCAAAAAGGUUUGGCCUCUCCUUCUCUCCUGGCCUCUCCUUCUCUUCUUGUACAUAGCACAAGAGAGCAAAAAUCAAAGGGAAGGGAAGAAACAAAGAAAUGGAAGAUGGGGAGAUGUACAACAUGAUGAAGGUAUGGCUCUCAAUCUUUGCAUCUCUAACUUACUGCUAUAUCAUGGGAAAGAUGAUCCCAAGAGGUUUUACAAGACUUCUCUGUGUGCUACCAAUUGUUUGUCUAUUUCUUGUUCUUCCUCUAGAACUCACCUCUAUUCAUUUUGGAGGCAUGACAGCUUUCUUCGUUGCUUGGCUUGCGAAUUUCAAGCUCUUGCUUUUUGCGUUUGGCAAAGGCCCUUUGUGUUUAGACCCAAAAAUCUCUUUUGGUCGUUUUGUUUCUGUUGCUUGUUUUCCCAUCAAAAUCCUACAAAUCCCACCUCAAAAACCGAAUCUAAAUGGCCAUAGCCAUGAAAACCAAGCUCAAAAAUCACUUCUAAAUGGCCAAGAUAGGCAAAAAUUAAUCUCUAGAAAGGGCCCUCAUAAAUCAUUCCUAAAUUAUGCAACCAAAGGUCUUCUUUUGGCAAUGUUGGUGGCUACAUAUGACUAUAGUGAUUAUAUCCAUCCAAAAAUCAUGUGGCUCUUGUAUUGUCUCCACAUAUAUUUUUUUCUUGAAACAUUCCUAGCCAUGUUGGCAUCGGUGGUUCGAACCCUUUCAGGGCUUGAGCUAGAGCCACAAUUCAAUGACCCUUAUCUCUCGACUUCACUUCAAGACUUUUGGGGGAGAAGAUGGAACCUCAUGGUAACAAGCAUCCUACGCCCGAUUGCGUACGAUCCCAUCCUCUACACGUGUAAGAACUUCAUUGGUCGCAGGUGGGCCCAGGGCAUAGCAAUUUUGGGUACCUUUCUAGUGUCUGCGCUCAUGCAUGAGCUCAUUUUCUACUACCUAGGACGCGGGAAGCCCACGUGGGAGAUCACUUGGUUCUUUUUGCUACAUGGAGUGUGUUUACCGGUCGAGAUUGUUUUGAAAAGGGCUGUUAACGGCAGGUGGCAGUUUCCCAGGCCGAUGCAAACUAUAUUGACCAUUGGAUUUGUGAUAGCUACCGGCUUUUGGCUGUUUUUUCCACCAUUUCUUGCGUGUAAAGCAGGUGUCAGGGCAAUUGAGGAGUACGCGGCUGUACGCGAGUAUUUGAAGGAAGCUGGUCAUGCAUAUUUUCCUUGGAUUUUUCAACAAAUCUAACGGCUUGUAAAUAUCCAAGAUUUGAGCAGCUUAUUUUGAUUGAAUGAACGGUUCGGAUUUGAUGCAAAUCUAAGAAAUUACAAAUAUAAGCAUGGUGGUUGUAGUUAUGAUUUAUGUACUCACUUGAUUAUUUUCCGGUAGUGUCGGGCAGGUCAAUUUUUCAAACAUAAAAUAAAAAAGAUCUAAACAGAUAUUUAGACGAAGAAAAUUUCAAUGAAUAAUUUAAUUAACCUGUAACACGGGAUAACUUCAAAAAAAAAAAAAAAAUAGGAAGCUUAAGUCACAAUAAAAUUAAUUUUAAAAGAUAAAAUUUUAAAAAAAAGAAAUUUAGAAGAAAAAAAAACUCUACUCAAAUUGGGUUUACUUUAUUAAUUAGAAUGAGAAAAUAAUUUUUUUAAAAAAAUUGAUAUAGAAAAAAAUCAAAAUUAAAUAAAUAAAAAAAUAUUGAUAAAAAAAUUGAGUUGCCCUAGAACCUCCAACCCCGAAUAACAUUAUAAAAAUGAAAAGCAAAAAUGAAAAGCAUAAAAAAUAAGAAAUUUUAAGAAUUAUUAAAAGAUAAAAUUAAAAAAAUAAUAAAUUCAAAGUAACUCGAGUUAACUUAACUAACCAGUGAUCUGGAAUAACAACUUAGAAAAAAAAAAAACUUAAAACCCAACAGUUUAAUAUCAAAAGAUAAAAUUAAAAAAAGUUUUAAAAAUAACUAAAAUCAAAUCAGGCUAAUUUUUAAAAUCAGUAAUUCUAGUUAUAAGACUGAGAUGACCCUGUAAAAAGAAAUUAAAUAUUAAAUAAAAUUCUUAAUCAUAAAAAAAAAUAUAUAAUUAAAAAAUAAAAUAAAUGGAAAGACAACUCUGAUUUUUUAUUAACUUGGCGUGAAUUUCAAGGAGAAUUGAGAGAAAAUAAAGGGAGGAGAAAAAACUCAACCAGCACCGAUUUAUCGUGAUUUGAAGUUUGAACAACAUGCGCCACCCCAGCAGCUUCGCCUUCACUUGAUAUUUUAGACGACACGACAAUUGAGAAAUUCUGGUUGAUGUACAAUGCCUGGAAUGGCAGGGGUGACAUAUACUCGCUGACGCAUGCACUUUUUUUAUUUAUUUAUUUAUGAAAAUAGUAAUUUUUUCCUAAUCCAAAUAGAGCAUAACAAUAAAAAAAGAUUUAUUAAAAAAAUACUAAAAUAUCUCUCUUAGCCUUUCAUUUUUGUAUUUACUUUUAAGGAUAUUUAUGUAGUUUAAUUAUAUAAAAAAAUAUAAACUACUAAAUUAUUUCCAAUCAAUUUGAAAAUGACUUUUGAACUCCCGAAAAAAUAUCAUUUUACCUUCGGUAGUAAGGCAAAAACUUUGUGCAGAGAAUAGCAAAGUAAUAAUUACAUCGUGUACGUCCACAAUAAAUUUCCUUAUAAAACACUGAUCUUUUUAGAGUUUUUUAUAAUUUGAGCAAAUAGGGACCGCAUCUUUAAAAAGAUAACAGGAUAGAAUUAUAUAAAAAAAAAAAAGCAGAGGGUGAAUUCGUGAAAAAAAUUAUAUGAUAUAUUAUUAGGUAAUAAAAAUUCAUGAAAAAAGCAUAGGGUGAAUCACAUACUUUAUGAUCAAGUCUAUUCUAAUUCUAUAGUAUAAAAAUUUGAUAACUAUUUAAUAGGUGGUCUAGUAAUAAAAAUUUGAUACUAAGAAGUUUGUUCCUCUUGUAGUCUGAGUUUCGAACCCUGUAGUUCCUAAUAUGAUGACUACUAGAGGCUUACAUGGUCGUUAACUUCAGGGGCUGUGAGAUUAGUCAAGGUGCGUGUAAGCUGACCCGAACACUCACGUUAAUAAAAAAAAUUAAUCUAAUAAAUUAGUUUUAUCAAAAAAUUUCUUGAUAUUUAUUCAUCAUCAUCAUCAUCAUCGAGUAUUGUUAUCGAUAACAUUUGUCAUGGUAAAUAAUAUACUUCUACUUGACUAAUUAAGAAAAAACUAAAACUGAUCAGUGUUUCACUGUGCAAGUCCACAGUGAAAUGCUGAGCAGUCCUUCUUUUUUUUCGUUUUUUUUUUAUUAUUUUUUCCCAUUUUUUUUUGUCUUCUUCUUUUUCUUCUUUUUUUGUUUUUUUUUGUUUUUAUUUUUUUUCCAUUUUUUUUUUAUUUUUGGUUUUCUAUUGUCUUUAUGGGUUUUUUUUUUGCUUUUUUCUUUGUGUAUUUUUCUUUUAAUGAAUUUUUUUGUUUAAUUUAGUUUGUUAAUGUUAAUUUUUUAUUUAGUUACCAAAUUUUCAUAACACGGAUCCCGGGUUUGACGGGUUAACCUGAUUUGACGAGUUAACUCGAUUUUUUUUUUCUUUUCUUUUUAAGAAAAAACUAAAACUGCUCAGUGUUUCACUGUGCAAGUCCACAGUGAAACGCUGAGUAGUCCUCUCCUUUUUUUUUUUGUUUUUUUUUCCCAUUUUUUUUGUCUUCUUCUUUUUGUUUUUUUUUUGUUUUUUUUUGUUUUUAUUUUUUUCCCAUUUUUUCCUGUUUUUUUUUUUUUUUUUUGGUUUUCUAUUGCCUUUAUGGGUUUUUUUUUUUGCUUUUUUCUUUGUGUAUUUUUCUUUUAAUGAUUUUUUUUUAAUUUAGUUUGUUAAUGUUAAUUUUUUAUUUAGUUACCAAAUUUUCAUAACACGGAUCCCGGGUUUGACGGGUUAACCUGAUUUGACGAGUUAACCCGAAUUUUUUUUUUCUUUUUAAUUAAUUGUAACAUAUACUAAAACGAAUCAGUGUUUUACUGUGGACUGCACAGUGCAGUCCACAGCAAAAUACUGAUCCGUUUUUGGUGUUUUUUUUUUAAGUUGUCUUAUUUUUUUAGCUGUUUUUUAUGCCUUUCGGGAUUUUUUUUUGCUUCUUUCUUUAUUUUUUUUCUUAUAACAAAAGUUUUUUAUUUAAUUUAGUUUAUUAAUGUUAAAGUUUUUUUAUUUAGUUAUCAGACUUUCAUGACACGUUUUCUGGAUUUAACGGGUUAACCUGAUUUGACAAGUUAACCCAGAAAUAUAUUUUUUUUGCUUUUUUUCUUUUUAAUUAAUUUUUUUUCAUUUAGUUUAGUUUGUUAAUGUUAAAUUUCUUUCUAUUUAGUUAUCAGACUUUCAUGACACAUAUCUCGAGUUUCACGGGUUAACCUGGUUUCACGGGUGAACCCAGUUAAUUCUGGGUUGACCCGUCAAUUUUUUUUUUGUUUUUUUUAUCAUAAUUUUUUUUUUCAUAAUUUAGUUUGUUAAUGUUAAAUUUUUUUUAUUUAGUUAUCAGACUUUCAUGACACAGAUCCUAGGUUUAACUGGUUAAUAUGGUUUGACGAGUUAACCCGAAUUUUUUUUAAUUUUUUUUAUUAAUUUUUUUCGUUUAGUUUAGUUUGUUAAUGUUCACUUUUUUUUAUUUAGUUACCAGACAUUCAUGACACGGAUUCCGGGUUUAACGGGUUAACCUGGUUUGACGAGUUAACUUGGAAUUUUUUUUUUGCUUUUUUUUUUAAUUAUUUUUUUUCGUUUAAUUUAGUUUGUUAAUGUUAAAUUUCUUUCUAUUUAGUUUUUUUUUCUUCUUAGAGGUUUUUUUCUUUUAUUUUUUAUUUUUAAUUAAUUUUAUUUAAUUAAUUUAGUUUAUUAAUAUUAAAUUUUUUUCUAAGUAGUUCUCGGCUGAUGCCUUUAGUUUUUCUUUUUGUUUUUUUGUUGUUUUUAUGCAUUUGACUGUAGACUGCACAAUGCAGUCCACAGUGAAAAAGCUCAUCCUUUUGUUUUUUUAAUUAAUUUUUUUUGUUUAAUUUAAUUGUUAAUGUUAAUUUUUUUUUUCUAUUUAAUUAUCAAACUUUCAUGACAAAGAUUCCGGGUUUGACAGGUUAACCUGGUUUGACGAGUUAGCCCAGUUAAUUAUGGUUUAACCCAUUAGUUUGUUUUUUUUCCUUUUUAAUUAUCAAACUUUCACGAUGCGAAUUUAAGGUAUGACGGGUUAACCUGGUUUGAAGGGUUAACCCAGUUAAUUCAUAUUUUUUUUCUUUUUCUUCAUUAGUUUUUAUUUUCCUGUUGUUUUUUUUUUUUGUUUUUUUUCUUUUUAACUAAUCUAUUUAAUUAUCACACAUUUAUAACACGACCUUGCAGCUAGACCCACGUCCAAUGCUAUUGGGUCUGGUAUUGCAGUCAAACCCGCUUAAAUUUAGGCCAUGCAAGUUUAAUGUUAUUAUUAAUAUUAUAAAUAUUACUCUUGGAUUAGGCGUUGCAACUAAACCUAAAACUCUUGGGUAUAACUUUGCAAAAAAACCUAAUACUUUUAGAUCUUAGCUUUUUAUGAAAUGCAAAAAAUAAUUAACCCGCGACAUCGCGCGGGGCAUGUAACUAGUAAUACUUCUAUAAGAGAUCUAAAAUAACACACCGCACUAGCCUUCGUAUUUUAUCCUCUUUUAGUCUUUUUUUUAUUUUUUAUCUCAAAGGAAGAAACUCGAAUCCAAAACUUACUAGAUUAAAGAAUGUUUGAUAAUAAAGUGUUUUUUUAAAAUGUUUUUUAAUUAAAAAUAUAGUAAAGUAAAAUUUUUAAUUUUUAAUAUUAAAAUCAUAAAAAAAUACAUAAUAAUAUUAAUUUAAUGUAUUUUCAGAUAAAAAAAUAAAUUAAAAAAAACUUAAAAAAAUAAAUUAAACUCCAUUAUCAAACACAACACUCCCUAUCACGGGUUGGGCUUGGAGCUCAUUGGCCUUUCACAUGGUUUGUUCGAUCACUUACAUUAGCAGCAGCGUGUAUGUUUGUGCCUCGCUUUCAUCAAACUAUUCCCGGCUGGCUUGCCUGUCGUAUAAGUUGAUCUGUUGUCUCAUUCAACCAUAACUCAGGUGACCAGACCAAUUAGUACUCCACCUAUAUUGCUAGCUACAAUAAUAUCCAUCAUGGGAACAGCAGCAGCCAAGUGAAGCAGGGAACUGACGGCUAAUGAAGGUGGUUCAAAAUAUCGCUGGAUAUGGUUGAGGCAGGGACACCACUGAUAGUCAAGAAUUUAGGAAGAGACUGGGAGUGGUUGCUGGUGUUUAAUGAGAGAGUCUAAGAUCGAGGUGACUUGAGCCACUUCCUUUAACAUUGGCAACUUCACAAAUAUAGAAUUAAUGCAAGAGUCUCCUUCAACAAUCACAUCUUGAGAGUGAAAAUGGGAGGUGAAUUGGGCAACUUUCUCUUGGUAUGGGUAUCAGCUGUGGCAUUACUUUGCUACUGUCACAAGAUAGGUCAGUUAACCCACAAAGGCACAACCAGGCUUCUUGCAAUCUUGCCAGUCGUAUGCAUCUUUCUUGUCAUGCCUCUCAGCAUCCUUAGUCUGAGUCUUAGAGCUAUUACUUCUUUCUUCCUUUGUUGGCUUGCCAACUUCAAGCUCCUUCUCUUUGUCUUCGAUCAAGGCCCUCUAUCAUCCAACCCGCCCCUCUCCUUGCCACAUUUCAUUGCCUUUGCUUGCUUUCCUAUCAAGAUUCAACAAGACCCUACACCAACAGUAUCACCUCAUGAUCAAGAGCUUGUAAAUGUUGAUGAUAAUCAAGAUCUUGAGAAGCUCGUGAGUGUUGAAAACAAAGACACCCCAUCUCAAAAAAUCGCCCCGAAAGGCCUUAAAUCUCAUCUAAACUACGCCUUGAAGUUUUUCCUACUAGUCAUAUUUGGUUACAUCUAUACCAGGGAAGACUAUUUCCAUCCAAAAUUUAUAUUGUUCCUCUAUGUUAUCCACAUUUAUAUUGCUCUAGAAUUAAUCUUGGCCAUGUUUGGAGCCCUAGCUCGAGCCUGUCUCGGUGUAGAACUCGAGCCACAAUUUGAUGAGCCGUACCUCGCCAGCUCUUUGCAAGACUUCUGGGGUAAGAGAUGGAACCUAAUGGUCACUAGCAUCCUGCAUCCAACUGUAUACAGUCCAAUCCGGUCAACUUUUAGCCGUUGGAUAGCAAAGAAGUGGGCUUCAUUACCAGCUGUGAUUGGCACAUUUUUAGUCUCUGGUCUCAUGCACGAGCUGAUUUUCUACCACAUUGGACGCCAAAAGCCAAAGGGGGAGGUCACAUGCUUCUUUCUCUUGCAUGGUUUUUGCUUGGCUAUUGAAAUAGGUAUCAAGAGAGAAAUAAAGGGUACAUGGGGGUUGCCUAGAGUAGUGGCAGCACCGCUUGUGGUGGGGUUUGUGGUGGUUACUGCCAUGUGGUUGUUCAUGCCCACCGUGGUUCGUUGCAAGAUUGAUGCUGAGGCACGGAUGCAGACUAUUGCUUUCAUUAAUUUUGUGGAAGGUGUUUAUAUCUACUUGAAAGAUGUUUUCAUAGAUCAUAAAUUUUAGACUAGUAAGUAAUUUUGUCGCAAUAAUUAUAAGUAGUUGAAGCCAGAACUUGUAUCGGCAAGCACAUUUAUAAACUUCAUUUAUUAAAAUCUUAGACCGGUACAAAUUUUUGUUUAAUAAUUGCUACGAUAGUUUAAUGCAAUAUACCAGCUGUUUGAUAAAAACCAUGAUCAAAAUAUUUAUUCGAUAUGCCCAGUACUUUACUGCAAUAUACCCUAGGAUAUCGUCUAAGUAGCAUAAAAAAAUAACAUUUGGUUUCUAUCUUCUGUAUAACGACAAUGAAUAUUGAAUUGAUAAAAAUAUGGUUAGUUAAAAAAUUAAAAAUAUAAAUACAAAAAUAUUAAAUAAAAUAAUGAAUUAGUAGAGACAAGAGAUAAAGGUAGACAAAUAACCAAUUAAAAUUAAAAGUUUAAAUUGUUAGGUGGGGUCUUAAAAUAUGAUUUAUAUUAAUCUUUAAUAUAUUUUUCAAGUAAAAGUUUUUUGAACUUGAAACUUUUACAUAUCUACACUAACUUGUGCUUGAUUUUUAUUAAAUAAAUAGAGAUUAUGAGAUUCGAAUUCGUGAACAUUUGGUCAUUAAGACUCUAAUACUUUGUUAAAGAACCGAUUCAAUUUUAAAGUUUAAAUUAUCAGGUGAGAUCUCAAGAUAUAAUUUCUACUAAUCUUUAACAAAUAUAAACAUCUUUAACAAAUAUAAAUAUAAAAUAAAUAUGUAUCUAGGAUAACUUGUAGGAAAUACAUCAUCGUUAUCUUAAUAAAAACAAUUGUAUUUAUACUAUUUAAAAUAUUAUUUUAUUAAUUUAGAUUUUUAAAAUAACAUUUUCUAUUCUAAUUAUUUUAAAAUCAUGUUUGAAACGUGAUGUAAAUUAUAUUUUUUUAAUUUUUAUAUUUAAAAUUAAUUUUUUUAUGUUUUUAAAUAAUUUUGAUGUGUUAAUAUUAAAAAAAAGUUUAAAUUUUUUUCGUAAUAUAUUUUUAAAUAAAAAACAAUUUAAAUUUUACUUCCAUGCAAACUCAAAUAAUAAGUUACUUGCAGUUAUUAUGACUAGCUGUAGGGGGCGGUGCUGCUAUGUACUAUAAACAUAAUUGAUGCAGCAGACAGCCAUAGUACCAAGACGUGGCAGAAAUUCAAUGACUUAUACUGAGACCACAGUUACACAACCCAGAUAACGAUGUGUUUGGGUGUGCGUGGUUAAGUCGUUUUUCUAUUUUUUUUAUUUAUUUAAAAUUAUAUUAAAAUAAUAAUAAUAAUUAGUUUUUUAAUUUUUUUCACAAACAUCCAUUUUAGCUGCACUUCUAAACAGAGUCUUACAGCAAGCACAAACUCUAAUUUAUGUCCAUCUCUUUCAUAUAUUUGAGUCAGAACAUUUGGAUAUAAAUUAGAGAAGAAAAAAACCUUGAUCACUGUCACACUUUCUUCUUCUUCUUCUGUUCUUUCUAUUUCGAGUAAAUAUAUACUGCAAGGACGAAGGAGCCCUUGUCUAGAGUCGCACAUGUGCCCACAUAGAUCAAUAUUCACUCUGUUCGAAUACAGAAACAAGACCACUUCCUCCUCUUGAAUCUGGAUAGAAUUGAUAGAACCUGAAUCGCCCUCACAGUUUCUUCUUUUUGAUCUUUCAUUUCAAGCGUAUAUCUUGUGAGCCUCCCAUACCAAGAACAGUAUAAAACCUCGUCUUCAAGUCCGAAAACUUCUUCCCACCUCAAACAUUACAGUUGCUGUGUUUCAUUUCCUCUCAUUUACAACUGAUCGAAGCAAGGAUCAUUCUGUUGAGGCUUUCUUUGUCUUUUGCAGAAAUACUUUGCAGCCUACAUGAUUGUUGUUUUAUCAGUGUAUCCAUCCACGCCUUCAACUAAUAACUGCCAGAUAAAGGCACCAGCCCGCCUCUUCUUUGCGGAUUCAUAAAUUUUAUCAUACACUGUUUUCAACAAAACAUCUCUGUCAAACACUCCCUUCUCAUCCACGUGCCGACUUGAGCCGACUUCUUUGAAAAGAACUGGUUUCCUCAGCGCAAUGUCUCCAUCACUUAUAUGAGAAUCCACCCAAUGGGAAAGAUAACUCGUUUUCGCUUCCAAAUCAGCAUGUGGGAUCCUACAAUGCAUGGUAUAAAGAGAAACAAGAGUAUAUCUAUCAGGAAUUUAUAAAUAUAAAUACUUAACUCAUUUGUUUACUCUGUCCUUCAAUCAACUGCGUUACCAAUCAAUUGAACUGCACUAUAUAAAUGUAACUUCUAGGUUGCCAUAGUUAGCAACAUUUAGACAGCAUGGAGCCAAAAUCAAAUGAACAGCACUAUAUCUUCUCAAACGGUUGACACUGCAUCACUAUUUCAAGCUUAAAGUGAUCUUCCUAUCAGCUUACGUUAUGGGGGUCCUAACAUGGCAUCGUGACAGAUGGGUGUAGUAAACCAUUAUUCUUGUGUAGCUCAUCAUUAUUACUGGACCCUAAUCUACAAUACUCUGCCAUAUAAUGAACUGGAAAUAAAUUACGAACCACCUGUCUGGAUAUGCGUGAACUGAUGCAAAAUCGAUGUUGGAUAUUGCUGAGUUUGGUAUGAAGUCUGAUCCAAGUGAUGCUGCCCGAAUCCCAGGAUUCACUUCUGACUUGUUAGUUGUAUUCAGGCCAUAAAACCCUUCAAGUCCAACAGUCACCAGAUGUCUUUUAUCCAAGCUCUUGAUAUAUGCAGCCAUCUCAGCAAUCCAUGCCUUAAGCCAAAGGCAAAGCACUACAAUGAUUUCAAUCCCAUUUGAUUCAAAAGUAAACCAGAAAGUUUGCUUAAACAACAACGCAUAUCCUUUUGAUAUUGUUAAUAACAGAUAUGAACAAACCACCCCGCCAUCAUAGAGAACUAGAGAAAAUGAUAUUCUUCGGCUAAGAAUGCUUCCAUCAAACAGCACCAUCACCCUUCUCUCCAGAUUCCAGCCAAAUCCUUUAGUUUAUUUUUGAAAUUCUAUGCCAACAUAUACAGAAGAAUGAAAAUUCAAUGGUUCACCUGAAGUGCAGGAGCUGAAGAACUUGAUGAACACCGAGGCUCAUUCAUGAGCUCCCAGGCGAAAAUUGCCGGUUCUUCAGAGUACCUAACUCCACUUAAUGAAUUCUUUCUCUUCACAACUGCCUGGAAAAUGCAUAACAGAAAUUUGCAGUCAAGAGAUUAUCAUAAUGCAGCAAGAGAAGCAUAGAUUGCCAAGUCCCAAAUCUUGAAUGUCAGCUCUUGUGAAAUUUCAUUCCUAUUACUUGCUAAUACAGCAAUAAUUUUAGCUUAAAUUGAUCUAGCAGAUGAUGCACAAUCAAAUUUCAGAUGGUAAGUUAUAGCAUAACAUAUUAAGUUCACUAAUUAACUUAAACAAAUAGAGUCGUCACAAAACUCACUCAUAUUCAAUGCUCCCAUUCAUUUUACAAUCAAAUAAUGCCUGUUAAGUCAAAAACAAAUUCCAUGCAAUUGAUUAAAAUCCAAUGACUUAGCCUUGGAGGUGUGAAACAUAGCAUCUCACCUUAAUAUAAAUAAGCCUUGAAGUAAUCUUUAAUAACUGGGUUCGGAAAGAAUGAGUCAUCUGAUGAAGAGACAUUAACUCCAGCUUCCUUUGCCCACUUCACAUACUGAGUUUUUCCACCAAAUGCAACCAGGUUAUUCAGCAGACUGAGAAUUAACCUUCCACGAUUCCUUCUUGCUUCAACUAUCACAUAGUCCAAUCCCUGCAGACAAAUACCUUCAUUAAACACAAAUAGUUCCCAAAACUGCUUCAAGAUUAUUCCUUUAUAUGUCAUUGAAAAGCCCAUAAGCCUUUAACCACACAAUUGAGGCCAUUCAUUAAACUUAACCUCCCCUCCAAGAUCUGACAGCCAAUUGAAAGCAAAAAUCUUAAUUUUUACAACCUUGAGAAGUUUAUAACUUACUUUGAAGACCCUUUCGUUGAAGACACCAGGAGAGACCUGCAAAGCAUCAGGCCCAUGACCAUCACUGAAAGCCCAAGUCCUGCAAACAGUCAACCCCAUUUGAGAUCCUCUCUUAAGCAUCUCAGAAACCUUUGAUCUUGAUGAACUCCACACACUCUCCAUCAUCAACCAAUAUGAAUUCCACCCAUUAACAUAAAAUGCUGAUUCCCCAUAAUCAUCACCAUCAUUGAUGAUGAUGAAUUGAGUGGAGUCGGUUUAGACAAAUCCCAUCUUGGGUUGCCAUAAAAAGACGGGAAAACUGAGGCUGCCGUUACUGUUGUUGAAGUUAAGGUAAAGAAGAGAAAGUAGCAUGAGUAUUCCUAGGAAUGGAUACAGUCUUCUGUCUCUCCAUUGGGAGUCCAUUUUCCUGUUUUCUGAGCAGACACUGAAAUAUGUUUUUUAUUCUUUGUUCACGGUAAGUAAGGAUACAAACAAAAGCCACCGAGAUCGCCGUCGCUAAAAAUAUGAAAUCUUUUGCGGUCGUAAUUUAGGCGAUGACUGGGUUUGAAGAGUAUGGUUAGUGUUGUUUUUUAAAUUGUUUAUUAAAAUAUUUUAUUUUAUUUUUUAAAAAUUAAUUUUGAUAUUAAUAUAUUAAAAUAAUCUGAAAAAAUAUAUAAAAAUUAAUUUAAAAUAAAAAAAUAAAACUUUAAAUUAUUUUUAAAAUAUAAAUAUGAUUGAAUGUAGUAAUUUGUUUUUGUAUUUUAAAUUUUUUUUUAAAAAAUUAAAUUUAUUUUAAUAUAUUUCUUAAAAAAAAAACGAAUUCAACCAAAAUAAUCACCUGUUUUUGUCGGUGGCUAAGCUUUGGGCAACGGAGUCACUUUGUUGCUGUAAAUAUGAGGAACCGGGAAAUUACAACAGGCUUUAUACUUGCUGCCAUGACAAUUUUUUUGAUUGUUGAUAUUUCUCCGGCGGAAGCAGAGCUAUUCUCCGGUCAGCUUUCUUGCAUUUCCGGUUCUAAAAAUUGAUUAUACUUGUUACAAAUGUAUUAUUCAUUUUGUAUUUAAGAUUAAAAAUAUAUAUAUAUUUUUUAAGAAAUUUAGUCUCAAAUUUGAAUAAUAUUGAUUAAAAUUAACAUAUUUUAUUGAUUAUAGAUCAAUCCAUUCAUCCACUCAAAUUAAAAAUUAUAUGUUAAUUUUAUUUAUUAACCAUAUAUUAUUUCAAGUUCAAAUCAAAUAAAAAGCGGGUAGAAAAUUGUUCGGACGUAAAUAAACUAUUUAAAAUUCAAAGAAAUAAUUAGUUUUCACAGGGAAAUAUCAAAAUAAACUAAACAUUUCAUACAAGUUUUUCAUUUUGAGAAAAAAAAAAUGUUUUUAAGUAGUCGAUUUUGUUAUCUCAAUAGCUAAUAACAAAAUUUUGAGUAAUUGUUCAACAGGGAAAUAUCAAAAUACACUAAACAUUUCAUACAAGUUUUUCAUUUUGAGAAAAAAAAUUCUGUUUUUGUGAGGAGGAGGAAUACAAGUUUCUGGUAAUGAACAAAGCAAACUUUUGUUUAUGAUACAAGUUCAGUGAUUAACUUUUGUUUCUAUACACAGAGAUAGCAAAAUAAAAUUCAAAAAGUUUCAAUCAACGAAGAAACAAAAUAAUUUAUGAUCAUCACUCACUUGUACAACUAAAAGUUUUGAUCUUUAGGCACAAAAGGAUCAAAAGUUCCAAUCUUUCUUUCAUGGUUCUUUCAAAAACCUCUGCAAGCAUCUAAACCCAAGAUAUUGAGCACAAAACUUCUCCAUUUCUUCACCACCUCUCUCCAUACAAAUCUCCUCCUCCAUCUCCUCCAACACCAUAUCCCAUCCACCAUAAGGGUCCCACUGCCACCCAAAAUAGUCACCACCAUCAGCACCAACUUUUGCUUCACAUAUUGAGUCCAAUAUUUCCUGCAACCCCACAAUCCUACGGCUGACUUUCCUUCUUGCUUCUCUCACCGUUGGAUCAACCCCCGGUACUGAAUCGAGCCUCAGAAGCAAGCCCAUCAAGGCCUCAUUCAUCCCCAGCUUUUCUUUCUCGCUACUUCUUAUUGCAUCCACUGUUUCCUGCCGUUGGAUUUGGUUUUGUAACUGAUCAGCUUCAGAACUAACAGCUGAGAUUUUCUUGUAAAGGGUUCGGAUCAUAUGUGUCCUGUAGCAAGAUUGGAUCUUGGUGGCAGCAGAAGUGGCAGUGCUUGAUUGGGUGGUGGAUUUGGGGGAGGGGGGCUUGACGGGGAUUUCAAUGGUUUUUGUAGGGGUAGUAUGGUCAUUAUGGAAAGAGUAAGUGACUGUUGCGGUGGAGGAAGUGAAGUAGCUGAAAUUGCUGGAUGGGUUCAUUUCCUCAACCUUGAAAGAAAGAAGGAAGGAAGGAAGGAAGAAAAGACGGUCAGGGAAUGUCAGAUGAGAGUGAGAUUUUAUACAGAAGGUUUUGGAAAAUUUUGCAAUAAUGUCAAGGAUUGUUUGUGGGCUAACGUUUUGAUUCUUUAUCUUGAAUGAUCUUGCCGUUUAGCAGGGGACCCAUGAUUUGCUUUUGACAAACGGACAUGCUUUUUGGGCAAAUGACAGUGCUUUUGAUUCUGUGGUUGAUUUCUAUAACGUUUGUGAUGAAAUAGUAAAACUUUAUAUUGAAUUUGAGAUGUACACGACUGAAGUGUUUGGGCAUCACACGCACCCUUGCAAAAAUAAGACCUUUAUAUAAGAAAGAGUGAUGAAGAUUAUGUGUUUUUAUAUGGAAUUUUGUUUUGUGUGUUUACCGGGUAAUCUAAUAUAUUUAUACAUCUUAAUUGCAUGAAAUUUUCUUAUAUAAUGUAGAGUAAUUAUGGAGAAUAAUUAUAUUUUCUCACUUUAUAAAAAAAAAAAAUCUUUUACAUGAUAUUAGAAUAUUGAUAAUCAAAAUGGUCACAAGUUUGAAUAUUAUUAUCAUCAUUCUAAUUAAUAAAUUUAAACAUAAGGUAAUGUAAAUCCAUGUAAGUUUUAAACUCAAAUAGUUUUCACUCGAGAGCGUAUGCUAAAAAAUAAUAUAAAUUAUAUUUUAGAGUCUCAUCUAACAGCUUAAACUAUUGUGUUGAAUUGGUUAUUUGACAUGUUAAAAAACAAUAUAAAUUAUAUCUUGGAACUUCACAUAACAAUUUAAUUUUUUAGGUUGAGAUUGUUCUUUGACAUGAUUUCAAAGUCUUGAUGACCAAAUAAUUAUGAGUUUAAAUUUCACCACUCUUAUUCUAAUUAAUAAAAAUUAAGCACAAGGUAGUGUGAACAUGUGCAAGUUUCAAACCCAUAAAGGUUGACAUGACGUGUUAGAUAACAAUAUAAAUUAUAUUUUGGGACCUCACCUAACAGCUUAAGUUUUUAAGUUGAAAUAGUUCUUUGAUAGUGAAUCUAUAAAAUGAGCUUGUUGAUUGUUAUACUUCAUUGUCCCAUUGGUGAAAAAUGUUGGCACUCACAGGUAUUUGACAAGAAAGGUUAGCGUCAUAUUAACAAGGCGUGUUCCAUACUUACUGUUGGUGAUAGUUAUUAGAGAGAAAACUAAAUGUCGCCCCUGACCUCCAAGAGGUCUUAAUAAUGCAUUGUGGUGUGUGUCAAUACUAAACAUCCUGGGAUGGAUUUGCACAGGAUCGAGAUUCAAUCCUAGUAGUUAGAUCGAGGUCCAAAUACGAGACAAGGAUUUUCAUUUAAGCUUGACAAAACAAACAGGAUGUCCUAAACGGACAACCAUCCCUCUUGUUUGGGCUAUGACCCAAACAAACAGUAACAUCAUCAUGAUCACUCUAAUUAUUUUGUAUAUUAUUAUAUAAAACACUAAAAUGUGUGGUGUUUUCUUUAUAGUAGCUGCACUAUGGACACACAAUCAGUGUAUUGUGGACUCACAAUGCAAUGAGUUUUUUUCAUCAUUUUUUAUUUUAUUUAGUCAUUUUAGAUAAAAAUUUAAGGCUCAUUUAAGUUAAAUUGUUAAGGAAAAACAAAAUUGAAAGACAAAGAACUAGGGUGAAAAAGGUGGGUAAAGUGGUGGAAAUUUCAAAGUUUGCACAUAAAAAAUCACUUUCACCCUUCUACUUUUCCAAUGAUACCUUUAUAGUCCCUCAAGAUUUUAAAAUUUAAUUUUUGCACAAAACUUUAUUUUUAUUAUUUUUAAUUCCUGGUUUGAAAGAUGAGAGAGAAAGAUAUAUUGGAUUCCAGUGAUAAAUAGAAAAAGUUUCAGCUAAUACUGAUUCUAGCAACAAAACAAGGUCGAUCUUGAUGUAUAUGAAUUCCAUUCAAUGAGAAACAUUUUACUUGUAUGUUAUUUUCUCCUUGAAAUGGCCUGAAAAAAUAAAUCUUGAUGUUCACGAGUUGCAUUCAACACGUCAUCCACCUCUAAUAAUUAAAAAUAAAAUAGAGUUAAUGAGUGGGUCAAGCCUAUUUGUAUCGGUCUACAAUUGUUUUUUUUUUUUCAGCCACGUGGAUUGGCCUAUAAGACUAGCCUAGUUACUUUAUUUUUUUCAUUUAAUAUAUUUUUCAUACUUGUUAAGCCUAACCCAAAACAAAUACAGGGAACGGGUUAGGAAGGUCAACUUGGAGUAAUUCGAGCUCAUCAAAAAAAUUAUAUUUUUAAAAUAAAUCAAAAUAGCAUUGUUUUUUAGUUUUUUUAUAGAAAAAUUCAACAAGUUUUGUACUGGGUUUUGAUCGGAUUUUAUUCAAGUCAAAUCGGAUUUUUUAGUGGAUCACAUUGGGUCAACUCCUCCCUUUUUUUAAACCUGAUCUAACCUAGGCUCAGGGUCACCAAGUUGGCCCGGGUUCUUAUAGCGAUAGUAUUUUCAACCCCUUAUACUUAAAACAAUAUUAUUGCAUCCUUUAUUUGGUAUUUAAAUGUCUUUAUAUAUAAUUUGACUUAAAAGGACCUUUUUUUUUAUCAAACUUUUAAAAGAUUAGCCAUGCCUUUUAUUUUAGCCCCGCGAGUCACCCUUGUUUUUUAGUCUCUUUCUUUUUUUUUAAUUCUUUUUGUUGUUUUGUAUAGGAAAAAAAACAACGCACCUAUUAGGGUAUAGUUAAAUGAAAAAAAAAAGUUGUUAGUUCUCGUGUGUUGCAUGACGUAGAUAAUGAAUUUGCCAAGUUUACUGAGGGUUAAUUUGAGUAUUGUAACUUUUUUUAAUUUAAUAGUUGUAGAUUUAUCGUGAUCUCAAAUAGAUGCUCUAAUAUUUAGUUGGUUCUUAAUUUUACAAGUAUUUAUUUUUCUUAUCAUAUAAUUAAGUAAAAGAUUAUAUAAAAAAUUAUUAAAUCUAAUUGAGUCCAUGAUCUAAGACACAUCUUUGGUUAAUUAAAUUUGAUUGGUUAGAAAUUAGGCUUAAUAAUUUAUUUUAAGUACACAAAUAAUUCUUAAUUUAUUUAAUUAAAACUAUGUAUGAACUUUUAAAUUUAUGAUUAAGAUUUUUUUAUGUAAAAAACAUGCAUGUUAAUGUUAUUGAAAAAUAGUAAUAAUUGCAUUAGUAAGAUUUGUUUAUUCAUUAUAUAAGCUUCAAAUUUAAUACAUGAGAGAUUCUUUGAAGGAGUGAGUUCAAUAACAGGAUGUUCUUAAAAUAUUGUUAACUUUGAAAUCUUUAAUUCAUGGAAGUUGAAUUUUGAUGAUCUGGUUCUAUGUCCGUUAUAGAUUUUCAAAUUACAGCGCCUUUUUUCGCCAACAUUAUCCUCAAAGGUUGCUCAGAAACAUGUGGGGAUAAAAAAUCUUUGGUCAGAUUCAACAUGGUGCAUUGUGUUCUUCAGGCCGAUCGAGGUAUACUUGGAAGCAUGAAAAUAGACAGAAAUGGAGUCGAAGCUCAAUCCAAGACAGCCUUAAAUGGUGUAAGAAUCUGCGAAAAGAACUCAAAAUCAAACCCCAAUUCUUAGUGCAUUGAAACCCAAGCUCUGAUUUACCAGAGAAGGGUUAGAAACAAACAGGCACAAGAUCCAGAUUCUAUUACACCUGGGGGUUGAAUAAAUUACAGAUUUCACUGGAUUCAACUACUGGAUACACAAGGUCACGAUAAGAGGUGUCUUUGGAUCUGUUCGUACAUCAACGAAAAACUUAAAACGUAUCUCGACAUCGAUUUUGCUGCAUUAAACGUAUACACAAUGAACAAUAUGCUUCUUCAACAAUCAACAGCUCUACUCGAGUAAGGGAUUUAUUGGAUUAUCGCACAGCCGGACAUCGGCUGAUGUAGGCUCAGAGCGCAAUCCAACAUUAAGGUGACGGGAGGAUUCUUCCGGCGAGAGCAAGUGCCAAACCCAACACCGUAACCAUCUCCCUGCAACGGAUUAAAUUUCAAGUAGUGUUUUGCAUUUCACGCGAAACAGAGGAAGGAAAUGCACGAGGAAAGAACCUUGGAUCAUCUCCAUUUAGUGACAGUGGCUUUUGCCCAUUCCAUGUUAGCUCUAACAGGCAUCCACAAGAUAGCUCCUGCUUGACAAUACAAGGGGUUGCUGUUGUUCAGUAGAAGAUGAUGGAAGGAAAGACAAACUGGAAUUCCAGGCAUAGAUCUGAUCGAAGCCUCACAGGUGCGCUGAUUGUUCCAGCUCCAAGUAGAUCAGAUGGUGUGUAUGCUGUUGAGUCACUGGUCCAAUAUCUGUUAAGCAAAUAAGAAUUCUGAGAAUAUGGUUGCUUAAAUAAUAUGAUUUCUUACGUGGAUGGAAAAAUCUAUAUAAUAAUCCGUAACUUCAACUCUUUGGGCACAGCUCAGCCUGCUUGGUUUGGUUAAUGUCUUAAAAUAAAAAAGAAAUUGAUAUAAAAAAACAUAAAAAAAAUUAUUUGGUUAUAAAGAUGGGAUAGAGAUUAAAAAAAAACAAAGAAAACACAUUAAUAUAUAUAUAUAUAUAUAUAUAUAUAUAUAUAUAUAUAUUAACAUUUUUAAAUUAAAAUUAUGUUAUUUCAAAACAAAAAAUAUAUAAAGAUAUAUCUUUUUAUUUCAGCUAGUUAAUUUAUUAAUUAAUGAGAAAGAUAUUUGUCUUACAAUAAAAAAAAAUAUACAAAAAAGCUAAACAUAAAUUGAGGGGGAAUAGAGAGAAAUUAUAUAUAACAAUUUUGAAAUAAUUUUUUUUAAAAAAUAAUAUAUAUUUUUUUCCAAUUAUCUUUAUCUAUUCUAUUAUGAUACAGUACUCAAACUUCUGAAUAUUUAAUAUUGAGUUAUAUGAUAUUUUUUAAAAAUAUUUUUUAUUUUGAAAUAUAUUAAAAUAUUUUUUUGAUAUUUUUAAUACUUACAUAAUAAAAUAAUAAUUAUUUACUUUUUUAAACUAAAUAUAUUUUUAAAAUACAGUUUCAAAAUAUGAAAGUGAUGAUAUAAAAAUGUAUUUAAGAUUAUUGUAAAUUUUGCUUUUCACAGUACUAUCUAUUUAAAAAUAAAUUAAAACAUAUAUUUUUAAUUUUUUUCAUAUCCAAAUAUUAAAAUAAUUUAAAUACAUAAAACAAAUAAUUUAAAAAAUAGCUGAAUAAAAAAAACAAUUAUCCCCACGUUAAGAAAGUGCUGCACGGUAAAAGUUAGUACGGCGGAUAAAAAACAAGCGACGCCGUUUCUGACUCCUCUCUCUAUAAAUAAACCUUCUGUUUGACCUCAUUCAUUCUCUCUUCGAAGUGCAAAAUCACAAAAUCCUAAAAUCCAAAAGCAAAAAUAAAAUAAAAUCAACGGAUUAGUAAUUAAUUAACUCAAUAUUUUAAAAAAAAUAAAUAAAUUGAAAAGCUUGUAUAAAUCCUAAUCUUUCUCGAAGGAUUAGUCUGCGAAAUGUCGUUCGAUCUUCUGUUAAAGCCGUCGUGUAGCGGCUGCGGCAGCACCACAGAUUUGUACGGAAGCAAUUGCAAGCAUAUGACGCUUUGCUUGAAUUGCGGCAAAACAAUGGCGGAGAAUCGCGGCAAAUGCUUCGAUUGUGGCACUACUGUCAGUCGCUUGAUUCGAGUACAGUAUCUGUCUCUAUUUGAUUUUGUUUAUUUUUCGGAUUUUUUUUCAUCAUUUUUUCGAAUAUUUUUUGGUGAUUUUUAUGAGUGAAAUUUGAUUUUUUUUCCCCGAUUUUUUAUGAUUUCUCGGGUGAUUAUUAGGAGUAUAAUGUUAGGGCGAGUACGAGUAGCGACAAGAAUUAUUUUAUAGGAAGAUUCGUGACAGGAUUGCCGAGUUUUUCCAAGAAAAAAAAUGCGGAAAAUAAAUGGUCUUUGCACAAAGAAGGAAUCCUUGGUCGUCAGAUUACUGAUGCUUUGAGGGUAAUAAUGAUUUUUUUAUACAUAAUUUUAGUGUUUUAUUUUUUUAUUUUUUUAUUAAGUAUAGAGUAUUUAGGUUUGUAAUUGAGGAUUUUGGAUUGUGUAGGAGAAGUUUAAGAAUAAGCCUUGGCUAUUGGAGGAUGAGACUGGGCAGUCUCAGUAUCAGGGUCAUCUUGAAGGGUCGCAAUCGGCGACUUAUUAUCUGUUGAUGAUGACUGGGAAAGAGUUUGUUGCUAUUCCUGCUGGUUCAUGGUAUGUGUGAUUGUUAUUUUUAAUGACUUUGGUGUUUGUGGUUCCUCACUUGAGGUAGGGUGGUUGUAAAAUGUAUGAAUUUGGUGCUUGUGAUUGAUGUGGUAAUGAUGAUAUGUGGAAUAGGUACAACUUUAACAAGGUAGCGCAUUAUAAGCAACUUACGUUGGAGGAAGCAGAGGAGAAGAUGAAGAAUAGGAGGAAGACUGCGGAUGGGUAUGAAAGGUGGAUGAUGAAAGCUGCAAAUAAUGGAGCUGCUGCAUUUGGUGAGGUGGAGAAGGUAGAUGAUAAGGAGGGUGUUUCAGCUGGCGGGAGAGGUGGGCGUCGGAAAGCAAGUGGUGAUGAUGAUGAGGGAAAUGUGUCUGACAGGGGAGAGGAAGAUGAAGAGGAGGAGGCAGGAAGGAAGAGUAGACUCGGACUCAAUAAACAGGGUGGUGAUGAUGAUGAAGAAGGUCCAAGAGGAGGUGAUCUUGAUAUGGAUGAUGAUGAUAUUGAGAAGGGUGAGUGUUUUUCCUCAAACGCCAUGUGGGUGCCAAUUUCUUGUAUAAAUGCUUAAAUGAUUUCCUUAUGUUCUUUUAAUUGCUGGUUUUUUUUUUUAAAUGUCUGCUAGUCUUUUUUUCUGCCUUCUUGAAAUCAAUACUAUCUUCUUUCUGAUGCACAUUAAACAUGAUACAUUGCUUUUUUGUUCUUUUUUCAUGGGCGUGCUACGAGCUUCAACUGUGUUGAAUUUUACACUGAUUUUUUUUUUGUAAACCAUACAUGGCAAUUUAGGUUUUCUAGUAAUUCCUACCUCAGGCACAUGUAUUUUAUGGUCUUAGGUGAUGAUUGGGAGCAUGAAGAAAUUUUCACCGAUGAUGAUGAAGCUGUCGCCAUUGAUCCUGAGGAACGGGAGGAUUUGGCCCCAGAAGUUCCUGCUCCUCCCGAAAUCAAGCAGGUCUGUAUUAGCAAACAAUCUUGGUGCUAAUCCAAACUACUUGCUUUUGUGCCUCAACUUAUAUAUGUUCUUUGGGCAUGUUGGCAUAUUGCUAUUUGCUUGGUGUGUUAUAUAUGUAUUCAUGUAAUGCUGGUUAGGCUAGUUUGGUUCUUCUGAGAGUAGUUUGAAAAUGUGGAGAUUUUAGUCAGAACUUUUUGUAAUGUUGACUGAUAUAUGAAAUGGAAUUUUAAUUUUGGAGCACAAUUGAUAAAGGGGGACAUUAUUAUUGAGAAGCACACUGGGUUUUUUAUUUUUAAUGUAAUGCUGAUAAUAACAGUAAGGUAUUUGCAUGUUCUUGCAGGAUGAAGAUGAUGAGGAUGAGGAGAAUGAGGAGGGAGGACUGAGUAAAUCUGGGAAAGAGUUGAAGAAGCUACUAGGGAAAGCAAAUGGUCUAAACGAGUCAGAUGUAGAAGAUGACGAUGACGACGAGGAUGUGAGUUUUUGUGAUGGCUGAUUGUAUGCAUGUUUAAUUGGCAACCUAAGAGCAUUUUCAACAUUGCUUUGCUGUGCUUGUUUUCUAUUUGCUUUUAUUUUUUGCUUCUAUUUUCCUGGUCCAAUAUGAAAGUGCAUUGAGCGAUCAGGGGUGGAAAUUAAUUUUUUUUAAUUCUGAGAUGUCAAUCAACUUAUAUGAUGCCUGAUUUGACAUAUUAUUUUGUAAAGCUUUCUUUGGUAUUCUUGUUAAUUUUUGUAUCUUCUCUCACUUACAGUGCUCUUGUUUGGUCUUAUCAGAUGGAUGAUGAUAUUUCUCCGGUUCUGGCUCCAAAGCAGAAGGAUGUUGUGCCGAAGGAGGAAGCUGCUGACAUUAGUCCUGCAAAACCAACACCUUCAGGUUCUGCUAAGGGAACCCCUUCUACCUCCAAGUCUGCCAAGGGGAAAAGAAAAUUGAAUGGUGAAGAUGCAAAAUCUUCCAAUGGUGCACCUGUGAAGAAGGUGAAGACAGAAAAUGUAAGAUGUUUUUUCAAAUAUACAUCUAAAACAGUGCGCUAUGCUAUCAAAUGUCUGUAAUAACCAAUCUUCCUAUCAACUUUAAUGUUCUCUUAAAGCAGGAAGUAAAACCUGCCGUGAAAGAAGAAAGCUCGCCUGCUACUAAAGGUACUGCAACUCCUAAAGUAACACCGCCAUCAUCAAAAACAGGGUCAACAUCAGGUUCUACUGGUCCUGUCACUGAAGAAGAGAUCAGGGCUGUUUUGUUGCAAAAUGGGCCUGUUACCACACAGGAUCUGGUUGCUAGGUUUAAAUCACGACUAAGGACUCCUGAGGUAUGCUCUUCUUUAGCAUUGUGCAAGCUUGCUUCAUAUUGCCUGCCACUCAAAACUGACCUGUUUGCUGUGCUGUUGCAAGAUUUUCUAUGGAAGCUAUGUUUUCAGCUAGUACCAUGCAUUUUUAUUUAUUUAUUUUUUCUAAAACCGGUUUAACUUUAGAUCAAAUUACAGUUACCCUUAGUUUUUAUGCUUAUGAUUUGGUAAUUAUGCUAUCCAGUGCUUCACUGCUGAUUACUCUUUAGGAUUAUCAGUCCGGUUAUGCAUGCUCUUAAGAAUUUGUGUUGUUCAUGAUGGGAUAAACACAAUUUCAGGUUGGAAAACAUGUGCUUAGAAAACUGUUCUAGAAUGUCUGAAUCUCAUGCCAGGUGAUUUUUCUUAUCAUUAAGGGGUGUGGGUGGCUAAGUUUUUGCAUAGAACAUGGGGCUUCUACCAGUUCAACCAAGGUUGGGUUGGUGGCACAGGAUAAUAAUAUAGAUAGGAUGGACUGAAGAUGUAUCUCCUUGUUGCUUACUAUAUUCAUUCAUUCUACUGAACGAGAAUUUCUGCUUCCUCCUUUGGAAGAACAAUAAAGUAGCAUCACCUGAAAAGUUUUGGAUGCUUUCAGUUCCCUCUCUCCUCUCUGUUUUCUGACUGGUGGAAGUUAAUUGGUGCAGGACAAGAAAGCUUUUGCAGAUAUUCUGAGGAGAAUUUCUAAGAUUCAAAAGACCAGUGGAUCUAACUAUGUUGUGCUGAGGGACAAAUGAUAGCUUUCUCCGUGUUCCCAGAAUUUCACUUGCUCAGAUUAGCCCAUGAAACCGCUAACUAUCCUGUAAGUCUAUAACUGUGCUUGCUAAAAAAGAAAAUAAAAGGAGAAGGAAAAGAAUCCCUUUAGCCUUCUGUAACUAAUAUCCUUGUAAGCUGCAGCAAAUUUAAUGAUGAAAUUGUAAAAUGUUAACUGUAGUAAAAUGUACUUGUAAAAUGUAGUGUACACUGACUGUGUAUUUUGUUUGGAGGCUGCUAGAUGUGUACUCAUUAACUCAACAAUAUGCUAGAAACUGAUGCAUCCUGGUCUCAAUUGAUGUGUUCCUAAUUUCAAGCAAAUGAUUUUCCUUAGACUUGAAUGGUAGCAAUCUUGCAUGGUGUGUCCAAACCCUACAUCUGCUAUGGCUUGUUUCCAAACCAUGCCUUGAUUUGAUUUUUUUUGAGUUGAUGCUUGAUGCUGAUGGACGGUAGUGAAGAGCUUGGAGCACUGGUUCUGUUUGUGUACAUAUGAGCAAAGCACCCAUCAGGCCUUUAAAGGCAACCCCAGACCAAAACCUACACUAGGAACUAUAAAAAUGGCUGCUCUAGUAUAAUCUAGCAGUGCUAAUUAAACAUUAUUCGUCCAAUAAUUUUCUGAAAAAUUUCAUCCGUUGAAAUGACAGGCUUCCAUUGGUGGGUGUUACAAGUCAAAUGAUUGAAAUUCUGGUAACAUUAGCAUCAUUCUAAUUUGCUAAUAUUUUUAGAUAAUAGUUGUUAGACUCCACUACCUAAGGCCCGGAUCAUUAAUUUGCUAGUUUGUGGGUUAAAUCCGAUGAUUAUUUGAGUUUUUUUUUUUUAAUGAUAAUAUGUUUUGGAAAAAAAUUGUUUUGAUUUUUUAAUUAAUGAAAUGAUAUUGUUUGAACAAAAGAGUUUUAAAACGACUUCAUUUUAGAUGAAUUUAAAAAUCGUUUGAGUCAUGUUACUGGUUGACAUAAAACAAACUCGAUUCGAGCUAGGCUUAGAGUUAUCGAGUUGAUAAUCGAAUUGUGUUUAAUGUCUUUUCAAGGUGUAUCUAAAUUAAAAUUUUAAUAUUUUUCAAUCUAAAUACAUUAUUUUUAAAAGCACUUUCAUCCUCUCAUGUGUAAGAAGGUUGGUUAAGGAUUAAAGGGAGAAGAAGGGUGCUUUCAUUAGUAUAGAACAUUAAAUCAAACGACCAGGAAUAAUAAUAAUAAAAAAAAAAACUUUAUGGACAUAUUCCUUGCAAAAACCAAAGAAUACAUAGGUCCAAAUUAACAUAAUUUUUGUAAGUUUUCCAAGUUUUUGCUGCCAUAAAAAUCACUACUAUAAAAUCCAAAAACAAGAAGCAUACAAAAGCUAGGAAAAUCCAAUCUAAAUGCCCAUAUAGGACAACCAAAAUCCAGCCAUCAAUAAAGCAAAGCUUGCACCGAAGUGGGAUGGAGCUGAACUUUCUGGUGGGGCAGCAAUAGCCUUAUCAGAGCCUUCUGAUGCGACUUGUGCGGUGGUGGUAUCAGUUCUGGCUUCAGGAACCACCACCUCUACAUGUAAUUUCAGGCCAUUCUUGCACUUGUCAGAACUGCUGCUUGUGAAGUAACGGACCCCUUCUCCAUCAAGAGUGAUGCCAUCACUGUCAUCAGUGUACAUUCUGAUUGGAUUGCUCACAUCACACGUUAGGUAUUCUUCCUUUGUCUCUACCUCAGCUAUCCUACCCUGUGCUGCAGAGUGGGUGAACCCUGAUCUCCCCACAGGUCAAAUAUAUUAUUACUAGCUCAUCUCACUUGUCCUAAUACAUUCCCAAAAUCACUCUACCGACUAAAAAUUAAAAGCUGAAUUACUUGUAUUGAUUAAAAAAAAAAGCUUCAAGUCCCGGAUUUAUAAUCCUUUAAAUCCAAAUACUCUAAAAACUAAAUUUCAAUUACACGAAUCCACUGCCAAACAUACCCUUGUUAAUAAAUAUUAAGACAUUUGGGAAUUCCAAUAUUGAAAAGAAAAGGAAAAAACUAAAUGGAGGAAUAACCAUUAAUUCAACUCUGAAAAAUAUUGAGAGAGAGAGAGGGCUUACAAAUUUUAUCUCCAACUCUGAAAGUUCUAGCAGAGGACCAAGAACCAAUAUCAGAAUAAGGGUGCCAUCCACGAUCCCCUCCAACUACAUGGUGCACCUGGGCUCCAUCAUUAAGGCUCACUAGGACUAGAACCAGAACCAGAACCAUCAAUAUCUUCUUGGUCAUUGCCAUUUUCACAGCACAACAAACUUUCUUCUCCUAGAAGGAAAGGGGAAAAAAAAGUUAGAGUCAGAAGACUGGUUGCUAAGAGUGAAAGAGAGCGUGUCCUUUCAAUGAUAUUGCACUAAAGAAGAGGGUAGAGCCCACUUUUAUUAAACUAGCCCGGCUCAUGAGUUGGCAUGAGUCACGGUUAACACCGGAACUAGCCAGGACCUGGUUUAAAUCCGGUCAUUAAUCUGUGACUUGAUCGAGUUCUCGUCAGAACUCAUUGAUUUUUUGUAAGAAAAAUUAAUAACAACAUUGUCUUUAUGGAUAAACCAACCCGUGACUGCUGAGUCUGGGUCAGGUUUAUAGAUAUGGUGGAGCCUAGAGGGUUUGGUUUCCUUUCCUUAGCAGCUUCCUUUCAAAAGCUUACAUAAGAGCAAAGAAUCGUAGGUGGCUUGGCUGUAGUUUGCUAGAGCCUGUGAAUGUGUGUCCACAGAGAUAGAGUACUCCUUUGUUUCCAUACUUUUUUAUUUUUAUUUUUUUUAUUUCGGUAAUUGUGAAUCGUUCGGACCAAUUUAUAUAUAUAGAUUAAUUCUUUGAUGUUCUAAAGUUAAUAAUUAUAUAAGUUUUAGUGAUUAUGAGAUUUGUGAAACUUAAAUUAAUAAUUUCUAGAAAAUAAAUUCAGAACCUAACCACUUAAAUUUUGAUCUAUAAAAUUGUUUUUUACUCUUUAAAAAAUUAAAAUUUGUAUUUUUUCUAUAAAAAAUUUUAAUUUCAGAAUAAUAUUGAUUAACAUAGAUCCUAUAUAUAUAUUUUGAAAAUCAACCACAACCACACUUCCAAACAGGUUUUAUUAAUAUAAGGUAUGUUUAGAAGUGUGGUUGUGAAUAUUUUUCAAAGUUUUUUUCAUUUUGAAAUGCAUCAAAAUGAUAUUUUUUUAUUUUUUUAAAAUUAUUUUUGAGAUCAGCGCAUCAAAACGAUCCAAAAUAUAUAUAAAAAUUAAUUUUUAGUAAGAAAAAAAAUUAAAUUUGUAUAUAUACUGGAAAAAAAAAUAUAGGAGGUAAUUAAUUGCGAAGUCAUGUAAAUGGUACUGGUGUAAUGUAAAUUGUAAUUGCUUUUCACUGAAGCAAUACCAGACGAAAUGUGGAAGAAAUUUAUGAUGAUAACGACUAGAACUCUCUUAUAACAUGAAAAUGAUAUGAUAUAAUUUAUGACGCAUUUUAUACAUUAAUUAUCACAUUUGUUUUUGAAUGAAAAGAGAAAUAUCAAACUAAUACUAGAAAAUAAAAUACUAUACAGCAUGAAUUCCAAGAAUAUAAUUCAACAUGAUAUUAUCGCUGUUGAAAUUUUUAUUUAAAACACGGUUAAUAAAUAUAUUUAAUAUUAAAUUAAAAAUGAGGUUAAUUUACUUUUUUAGAUUAAAACUUGGUUAAAAUUUAAUCUUUAAAUUAUAAGUAAAUAAAAAAUUAAUCUCAAAUAAAUUUUAGUUGAUAUAUUUUGGGAAAACUCAUAACCUUUUAAAAGCUCUAUCUCACAAAAAAAUAAAUUUUCUAGUGAUUUAUAUACACUGAGAAUAUAUAAAGUUUAAAUUAGAUCCAAAAUACACCCUAGUUUUUAGAAAAAAGAGAAUUUAAGCAAAAUGAAUUUUAGAUUUAAACUCACAUGCAUGCAACUUUGCUCGGACAUGAAUUUGGGUUUUAUUUUAUAAUAUUGGUUUGAUAUUUUUAUUUUUGUUUUAAAAAAUGUGAUAAUUAAUGUUUAAAUUUUGUUAGCCUAACUCAUGAAUGAUAUAAUGUGAUCAGUCUACUUCUAGAAGAGUUUUCUUUAAAUUUUAACAGUUUUCUCAACUCAAAAACAUCUAAUUUAAAAUCAAAAUGUUCAAGUUUGAUUCUAAUUUUAUGUGGAUAAUCAAAAUUGAUAAUAAAAAUAAUUUAUUCCAUAAAUCACCAUGUGGUUGUGUAUUCAUCCGAUAAGAACUACAGUUUCUAUAAUUUUUUGAGCGUGUAAUAAAAUUAGAUAAAAUAUUAUCAGGUAUAAAAUUGAUAUUACAGUGCGAGUGAAUUUAAUUCACUCUAUACUAGUUUUUCGGGAAAAAAAAAUAUUGUUUAUAUCAUAGUGCGAGUGAAUUUAAUUCACUCUAAACUAGUUUUUUUUUUUUAAAAAAAAAAACUGUUAAAAAAAUGAACACACUGAAAAAAAAAAAACUAAAACUAUUCACGUGAACAGUGCAAAUGAAUUGCACUGUUCAUUAAGUGAACAGUGCAAUUUACUCGGGAACAGUGCGAGUGGAUUGCACUGUUCAUUGUUUUAAGUGAACAGUGCAAUUCUCUUGCACUGCUCACAUGAACCGUGUAUCAACGUACACUGUUCAUACUAAUUGCAAUGUUCAAUGAACAGUGCAAUUAACAUAAACAGUGCGCGAAAAGCAAGAAUUCCUUGCUUUUCUUUCCCUGCGUUUCAGACGUAAAAGUAACGUGGGACCCAUGAAUAAAAAAUCUUGUUUUAAUAUUUACCAAACGGCUAAAAUCUGUGGUUUAAUUAAAACACAGCCGCAGCCGCGUGAACAAAUCUUGGAUGCAAGCAAUGGUGUAAAUUCUCAGUGAAUCUUUUCCGAGAGCUCCUCCAAAGUCUCAAUCUUGUUUCCAUGCAAGGAGGUUUCCAAGAAACAUGUUUUUGUUGGUUUUCUGUGGAGAAAACAGAGUGGGAAAUUCAUUUAAGAUAAGAUAGACAAUAUCUUAUAAGCAAGUUCCAUAGGAUGCUUUUGUUUUUUACUUCACAUGCCAACAGGAAGAAGCUUACCAAGUCCAAGACUAGGUUUUAUUAUUUCCAUUAUUUUCAUAUCUACAAGCAACACUGAUUUUUUCGGAAUAAUCCAAGAAAACUACCUCAAUCCUGCACCAAACCUUACAAUGGAACUUGUUUAUCAAGCUCAAAUCAAAUGCUACUCGCGGAAUUCUGUUUGAAGUUGAAACAAAAGAAAAUACUGUCAAUUUUAAUGGAGUAGUCCAAUCUCCAUGGCAGAUUUAUGAUAAGGGGUUUGAACUUAGAUUCAUUGGAUCAAUUCAUGAAUUUCGUCUUUUUUCUCCAAACAUUUCUUUCUCAAAAAAUUUAUGGAGCUCCUCGUAACAUUUUCUUCCAUUCGAAGAUAAUGUUAAAGGGGAAAUACAGUAUUACAAUUUACACUAUUUAAAUGACAUAGAUAAAACAGGAAAGAAACAUCACAAACAAUAUCCAAGAUAAUCAAGAACAAGAAGCACCUGAAAAUAUACAUUACAAAGAGCAAUCUUGGUCACUCUCCAAUGAGUUCUGUGGAGAGUAAAAUAUGAUGAUAUCAGCCUCUUUAGGAAGUUUAAAGCUCACUCUCUUCUGUGACUUCCCACUUUGGGUUCUGCUAAUUGAACUCGCUACUGAAGAGGCACUGACAUAGUCUUCUUUAUCAUCUACUUGAUCAAGCCCCAAUAGUCUGCCCGUGGAAAAACUCACUCUUGCCUUAGUUGAAAUACAUGGGUGUACCCUUUUGGAGGACCCAUGUUUGAGAACACAAAGCUCUCCUCCUCUCAAUUGUUCUGCCUUCAAGCUAGGAGAGGUUAAAAGCCAGUCCUGUAGAGUCAACUUGCUCACUGUUGUACCCUUCUUCUCUUCUCGGAGCACAUGCCUUUUGUUCUGGAUCUUCUUCACUUUCAAGCAUUCUGGCUUCAAUAAUUCAACAAAGCGUGAUUCACGACCAUAGGAGCGGACUCCUUCUGGCUUCUGCUCGGAAGUUGAGAGCUUGCUCACUUUACAUCCCAUUGGAUUCUGCCAAAAGAAUCAGCAAUGUAAUACAUAAACGUGGAUGGAUAAGAUGGAGAAGGGCUUAAAUCAUUGUGUCUGAGCAAUGUAUAGGGGAAACCGCGACGGAGAGGCUGAGAAAAAGGUGUUUGUAAGAACUAUGUUGCCUUAGUAAUCCCCAUUAGGUUAAGUAUUAAUUUGUACUAAAUCUUUCAAUAUAAUUAAGUUCGCAUCAGUCAUGACGAUUGGCCAAUGCAAUCCUCACAUAUUAUUUGUUUUGUGCUAGCUACCAUUAUCUCAGUGUCCAUGUCAGUUUCUUGGCUUUUAAUCUUCAUAUUGAUCAGUUUGACAGACAAUGGUGAUAAACUCAAAGCAAUUCGUUACAAACAAUAUAUUCGGCUAAGUGAAGUUCAUUUUCCAAUUUGUGGAAUCAAGGAAGUUGGUUGUCUUUGCAUGAGGGAAUAACUUUUCACUUCUUGUUUGAUUGUUGAGCUUGGUUUAGAUUCAUUGUCAUUUACGACAACAGUAAAUUGUGCAAAACUAUGUUUGACUUGGAAUCUAGUAAAUUUAACGGCAACAUUUGUAAUUGGCUGGAGCUAGAUUCUUAGGACAGGCUGGUUCCAGGAGGGAUAUGAAGCUGCAAUAUGUCAGUGUGGAGGAAAAAUCAGACUAAGCAGGGCAGCCUGCAAGAAGCAGCAGAAAGCAAAACAAAGUGCACAGCAACAUGGUCUUUUAGUUCACAUCUCAGCCUACAAUAAGAUGGCAGAAAUUAUCAGUUUCAGGGAAGACAAGUUUCUGUUUAGCGACUGUAAUAGAAAGACAUGAUACUAUUGAUCAGUGUUGUGUAAGAAACUGGAUGUCAGCUUUCACUGUAAAUCUCUUGUUGCUAUCAGUCAGUCAAGGACUCAUGGUUAUUCUUUGGACAUGCCAAUCUGUAUCUUCAUGUUUUAGGCAGGCAAACCCUAGAAAAAGAAAUUAAUUUGUAGUCUGCUAUUAGAUUCAAGGCAAAGAUUAUAAUUAUAAACAUGGAGCAGAUUCCCUUGUUACUUGAGCCAAAAUACCUCAAGGGUUUAUUAUGAGAUUUCAAGUUCAGUCAUAUUCUAUUGCAUGGCACAUCACUUGUUAUUUGUGUAUCAGAAUCGAAAUUGAUAUAUUUUCUGGCAUGCUUGAACCUUAGGGCUUGCAGCUCUUUCACCGAUCAUAUUGCUGGAUGAUACGUUUAGAACAAUUAACAAGAAAUCGAUUAUUAUAAGAACAGUUUGUGGAAAAUAUCACUUUAAAGAAUCCACCCUAGUUAUAAUACCCAAUACGAGAGUCAACCCGGCUAAGUUAUGGAUUAGAGAUGUUAACCUACCUACCUGCAAGUUAGCUUAUUAACCAAGCUAUGAUUUUUUUAAAAAAGAGCUCCCCAAACGAAGUUGUUUCAAGUUUUCUAUUUUUUUUUAAAAAAAAACUGAAACAUCAUUUUAAUGAAAAAACCCAGUUCAAAGUCUAGACCGAACUAGGUUUUAUAACACUGCUGACAGCAGUGAACUCUUCCCAUUUUGCUCGAAUUUUCGAAUGUGCCGAAACCUAAAAGGAGAGACAUUUCCUACAGCACUCCGCAAAACUGCCAAGACAUAGAUUUGCGUCAUGUACAAAGGCCCAUCUAGACUUCACGAGAGUCUAAAAUUUAGUUGGAAGUGUAUAUUUUUGCCCUAAAAUCACAAAACAGUAGUGAUUAUGUAAUAAUUUCAACACAAGACAUGAUGGCGUCUAAGGGUAAAUUCAGAUCAACCAUCAUAAAUAUCUCAUAGUACUGUAAUUCUAAUCACGCACAUGAUUUUGGAAGUCUCAUUUGCAUGAAGCAUUCUGAGAAUAGAAAGAUACUCCAAGCAUGAAAUUUAUCUAGAGCAGUAAUGUACUUGAAGGAGAUACAAAAGAGGUCGAAUCAGGAAGUCUCAGCAGCUGGUUGGGUAACUCCAAACUUCACCAACAGCUUGCUUAGAGCAUUGGGUGGGCAAAUUUGGUAUUUGACAUUCCCAGAAGGAGAAAGGAAGACCUCAGCCAGUUCAAGCUUCUCUGAAGUAAGACUUGUACUAUCCAUAGUUUUGCUGAGCACCUUCAAAGCAAGCUGGACAGCUUCUUCCCUUGUGAUUUCAUCCCUGUAAUCCUGCUUUAACAUGGAUUGUGCAGCCUGGUUGUUUGCACCAAUUGCUGCAGCUUUCCAGCCAGCAUAAUUUCCACUAGGAUCGCUCAUGUAAAGUUGGAAACCAUAAUUUUUGUCCCAUCCUGCAAACAGAAACGAGACACCAAAGGGCCGAAGACCACCAAACUGUGUGUACCCUUGCUUGGUGUCACAAAGGGAUUGAACUAACUGCUCUACAGGCAUUGGCUCUUGGUAUGCAAAGGUGUAGCGUUGUGCUUGGAUCCUUGCAGUGUUGAUUAGGAUGUUGGCAUCAGACAUAAUUCCAGCCACUGCAACAGCCACAUGAUCAUCAAUCUUGUACAUCUUCUCAGUGGAAGUUGACGUUUGCAAUAGCUUGGAUGUAACCUUCUUUUCACCAACCAAGACAACCCCAUCUUUGGAUAAUAUUCCUAUUGCAGACCCAGCAUUUCCAAUGGCUUCCAUAGCAUACUCAACUUGGUACAGACGUCCUUCAGGGGAGAAGAUUGUUGUGCGGCUAUCAUAUCUCCGAGACAUUUUUAUUUAUACUGAAAGAAGAUAAUAAGCAAAAGCAACAAAAAGAACAAAAAUAAGUUCUUAACCUUGCGCCCCUUUUCACUCGAUUAACUAUAUAGGAAAGGCCAGAAAGCAGGGUUGGGGAGUCCAUGGUAAAAGAGUGAAAGACUCACAUGAAGAUCAUUCAAUUGCAAAUAAAUGAAAGCAUGCAACACAUUAGAGAAAGCAGAAAUUGAGCAUGUGUUGAAAAUAAAUAAAUUAGAGCAACUCUUAGAGAACAGCAUAGCCAUUAUAAUCAGCUUGGACGUGAGAACUUGACACGAUUAGAAAACAUCUCAGAAACAACUAGAGCUUCCAGAACCACGAACAAGUCAAACAGUGUGGAAAUUUCCAUAAACUGAAAAGGUAGAAUAUAGGCUUUGCAUGCUGUAAAUUGACAAUAUUUUAAAUUCUUCAAUUCUUUUGAUUGAUUAACCAAAAAAUUUAGGAGAUGCAAUCAUUGUGCCAUUUUCCCAAUUCAGCCCCUUUUCAUGCUCAUCCAUUUUCAAAUAAAACAUGCCUCAUGGAAACAGCAUACAUAUUUUCUGUUCCAAAGAGCCAAAUGCAAACAUAGGAGAACAUGUAUCGCAUACAUAUGCAAGAAAACACAUGCAUGGAGUUUGUAAAGGAGGUGCAUACACUUAAGUUUCUUAAAGAAGAGGCCAUUAGGAAACUACAUUUGCAAACCCUAGAGCUCACAAUAGAAGUUGCAAAGGCAGGCAACUGAAAGUUGUUUAAAUUAGAAACACACAAGGACUGAAUAUAAGAAAAUAAAAUCUUGCAACUGUAAUUUAAGUAAUGCCGUCCCUCUGAUUAAGUCUAACCUUGACCAUUAAAAAAAAACCUAAGAAAGACAAUGAAAAUUCUAACUAAGAAAUUAGUAUGCUUUACUAAAUAGUUACUUAAGCACAGUUCUGUAACAAUAACCCAUAUAUCAAACUAGGUUUUCCUUGUUUACCAUCCUUUAAUUCAUUAUACCUGUCAAGAAUAUCACAAAGGACAUAUAGCAAAUCAUAUUACAAAAACAAUCGAAAAUCAGUCAUUUCCAGCAAAUAAACAACUACAUAGUUCCAUAGUUGCUCUAUUUCAUCUAGCAGUUCAAUCAAGGAUCACUAACAAAGUUGCCAAACUAAAAUCAAAAUCUGUUUCGCCAAACACAACCCAUUCUAUGUCUUUUUAGUACACAAUCAACAAUAUUGUUCUAUCUUUCGCGCUUCCAACAAAACAAUUUGAUCCCUUAAAACUCUACAAACUACCAUGGACACACACAAAACAACACUAACCCAGGUUCCAAUUCCAGAGUUCAGCUUCUAAAAAACACAUCAAACCCAACUAGGUCUAUUUCCACUCCGAAAUUCAAUGCACAUUGUAUAGUUAAUUUGCCAAACUAUAUUAGAAUCUGUUUCUAGGAAACACCCCAUCAUCCCAUUCUCUGUCCUUCCAGUGAGUGCACCAUCAACAAUUCUCUCUCUUUCGGUCUCCCAUAACAAAACAAAUUGAUCCCUGAAAACCCUACAAACUACAAUUAACACCAAAAAAAAAAAAACUAUCCCAGAGUCCAAUUCAAAGUCCAACUUCAAAAAAUCACCUAAGAAAUCAGCAUUACCAACUAAAACCCCUCAACCAAGAACAAAAUCAGAAAAAAAGCAGCACCUUUACUGCUUUACCACCAUAACAACCCAAAAACAAAAACAGAUCUACGUAAACACCUAGAAAACUAACUCAGCACUUGAAAACUAAAACUCAUUUUCAAAUUUCAAUCAAAAACCAUAAUCGCACACAAAAAAGAAGCAACAACAAAAACUAAUACAAAAAGUCCAAAUCUUGAAGACCUAGUUCAAGAAACCAACGAAAGAAGAGACAUUUGGUAUAAAAUCAAGAGGGAGUGCUAAUUACCUGUAAAAUGCAAGUGAUCAGAAGGAAUUUGCUGUGUAGUGUGAUGCAGGAGAUUCUGAAGGGCUGAUGAAAGCUAUGGAUUCCUUGGUGAUCUUUAUGGGUUUCUUACUUUGCUCUACCUUGUUGCUCAAGAAGAGUUAAAACAGCUGAUACUGGGUGGGUUGGGCUGUCAAUGCUGUGAAAUUGGGUUGGGCUUAAUUUUUGGGCUUAAUAUAAUUAAGCCUAUUAGAGUUUUUUUUUCCUAUUUAUCCAUUUUUAGUUUUUUUUUUAAAAAAAAGAUUUGUAAAAGAAAAAUUAGCUCGAACAUGGCCGAAUUAGAAUCAAUUCUUUAUUUGAGUUUCUUAAAGCAUGUUAUUAAAACUAGUGAAUCAUUGAUUGAAUCGUUAGAUCAAUUAUAUUAUAAUAUAAAUAUUUUACUUAAUAUAAAAAAUAAAAUAAAAUAAAGACAGUCAUAUGCUGCAUAAUUUUUAAGAUUCAGGUAUUUAUAGUUUUUUUUUUAAUUGGGUUAUUUAUUGGAUUUGACUGAUUUUACGUAAUAUUAUAAUUAUUCGAUUAUGUAAGUGAGUGUUUAGAAAUUUUUGUAGCUUCUGUUUGUAAAUGUAUUUUAAAAGUAUAUUUUAUUUUAAAAAAUAUUAAAUUAAUAUUAUUUUAGCGUGUUUUAAUAGUUUUAAUGUGUAAAUAUAAAAAAAUUAUUUUAAUAUAUUUUAAAAUAAAAACUACUUUUAAAAAGCACAUCUUACACCACAAGAACAAUUACUCUAUUAAAUUGGAUGAUUAAUUGAUUUUAUAACAUUUAUUUUAGUUACUAGUCAUUUAGAAUUGAUUAUAUUUUUCUAUCAGCUUCAAUUAACUUAUUGUUUCCCAUGCUAGAAAAUUAUGCCAAACAACUUAGUAACAUCCACACGAAAUAGGUAAUUUACGAAGGAAUGUGUUUAUAAUUAUUGAGGUUGGUCCAAAACCCUUACUUGGACCUCAUCACUUUCGGUUUUGCAAAGGUGCUACCAACAACAUGUCCAUUCGUUAUUUUGAGGGAAUUUUUAAAAUCUAGAUUAUAAUUUAUAUUGUGGAUUGGAACUUUCUCAAGUAAAAAAAAAAAUUCAUAGAUUUAACAUUAUUUCCAUGAAGUAAACCCAGCAUGAGGAUUGCUAUGAAAAAAGGUAGGGUCACUGAAUCAACAUACGCAGCUUACCAAGUUAAUUAUUUUUAUUAGAAUAAUCUUAUAAAAUUUAUUUAAUUAUGCUUCAAUCGAGUUUGAUCGAGUUAACAGGUUAUAAAUUAAUCUAAUUAUAUCAAUUAAAAUUCACUAAAUCAAUAUUUUUUUUCAUUUAUAUUUAAAUUCUAAUUUAAAUUAGGCUUUGAAUCAUAUAUAUAUCUAAGAUCAAUAAUCUAUGCUAUCAGAUUAUUUCUUUCAAUUUCCUUACACCACAAGAACAAUUACUCUAUUAAAUUUUAUUAAAUUAAUACAUUUUUAUUUAUAUUUAAAAUCCAAAUUUAAGUUAGGUUUUGGAUUGUAAAUAUCUAAUAUCAACUCUUUUAAAUCUAAGCUAGAUUUAACAACUAUUCUAUCGAAUGAUUUUUUUUAAUUUCCUAAAUUAUUACCCCUUUUAUUCGGACAAAUAAAAAGGAGGUCAGGAGUGUUCUGACUUCUAGCAAACCAUGUUUCUUAUCUAAUAACAUUAUUAUUAUUUUUUUAUUUUUUUUUCCCCUGAUUAAGAGGCGAGGUCUUCAAACCAACUAUUCUCCAUUCCUUCUCGCAUGUCCCAAAUACCUUGGUUAGGCUUAGAACUUAGAAUCCUAAUUAAAAUAUAAUAAUUUAAGCUUAUCUUUAUCAUAUAGUGUUUCUAGAAAUAUAAAAUAAAUAUAUUCGGGAUCUUGUAAUCUUGUAGCCAGGCUGGAUAAGAGUUUGUAUUCUUUUCUAGCCUUUUCCUUUCUAUCUUUUCCCGUGAACCAAGCACUGCCCGUUUACAGUAUAUAUUUGACUUUACUUCACAUCAUACUAAUUUUCUCAAGUAAAAUAUUAUGGUCUUGGUCCACAAUGGAAUAAACAUUUCAAAUCAAGUAUGGAUCGAGAAACCUAUACCAGGAAAAAAAAUGAUUUAAGAGAAAUCAAACAUGUUUUUUUAAAGAGUUUACAAGGGGACAACGAAUCUUUGUUUUUACAGUCAUGUCGUUUUUUAAAUGUUUUUUAAAAUAUUUUUUAAUAAUUUUAAUGCAAUAAUAUUAAAAAUAAAAAAUAUAUUAUUUGGAUAUAUUUUUAAUUUCAAACACUUUAAUAAAAACAUGCAUGAGAGGGAGGGAUAAUUGGAUGGCGCGCGUCACAAGUGAUGGAGAUCAUCACAUUUUGAUGGAAUUAAUUAAACAUCAAGCAAUCAAGAAAGUAUGCCCACAUUUGAUAGGCAACAAGUUGAAGAAAUUAACAUAAGAUAUGCUCUGAAAAGGGAAGGAAAGGAUCAUAAGAAAAUUCUCUAGAACUAUAACAAAACACAAGAUAUCCUCUUGAAUUAGAGGCUUCAUUCCAGCCACUUCAUGAUCCUACAUGCAAUUAUUCUUUACACUUUCAAGCUCACACAUGUUACCCUCUGCAUGUUUCAACACAACCUGCAACCAUCAAGAACGCCAAAAUAUGAUUUAGUUUCAUGGAUAUUUUUCCUGAUAAAUGGAAUAUCUUGUCAAGACUAUAUAUAUAUAUAUAGCGAAAUUCUGAAAAUGGAAGCUAGCUAGUACCUGAUUAAUUAAGCAGGGCACUUGAACCCUUCAGGUGGGGUCUUGCCACAGUCAACAAGGACCUCAAGAGCAAUGGGUAUAAUGAUACUGAUGUUGAGAAGCUUAGCCUUAAUGGUGGUGCAAAGACAUAUGGCAGCAUCCAAGUCAAGAAGACCUUGAAGCACUGGACAGCAUGCAUCCUUGGCACUACUGCCAAUACCAAUGUGGACCAGUCCACCUAACACAUCCACACAUGCACCUAGCUUGAGAGUGUCAAUGGAGCAAGUCUCUUGUUUUGGUGGUGGUGGUGGAGGUGGAGGACAUGGUGUUUCAGGUGGUGGAGGGUUCACAAUAGGUGGUGUUGGUGGCUUUAUUGGAGGAGUCACUGGAGGCUUUGGUGGUGGAAGAGUUGGUGGUGCUGGUGGCAUUAUUGGAGGAGUCACUGGAGGCUUUGGUGGUGGAAGAGUUGGUGGUGUUGGUGGUGUUGGUGGCAUUAUUGGAGGAGUCACUGGAGGCUUUGGUGGUGGAAGAGUUGGUGGUGUUGGUGGCAUUAUUGGAGGAGUCACUGGAGGCUUUGGUGGUGGAAGAGUUGGUGGUGUUGGUGGCUUUAUUGGAGGAGUCACUGGAGGCUUUGGUGGUGGAAGAGUUGGUGGUGGAAGAGCUGGAGGUGUUGGUGGCUUUAUUGGAGGAAUCACUGGAGGCUUUGGUGGUGGAAGAGCUGGUGGUGUUGGUGGCAGAACUGGUGGUUUGGGCACAUAUGGUGGUUUUGGUAUGAAGGGCGGAUGCACAAUGGGUGGUUUCGGUUUGAAGGGCGGAUGCACAAUGGGUGGUUUCGGUUUGAAGGGCGGAUGCACAAUGGGUGGUUUCGGUGUAUAGGGCGGAUGCACAAUGGGUGGUUUCGGUUUAAACGGGGGAUGUACAAUGGGAGGUUUGGGAACAACAG